GAAAAGGCCGAAUUCUUCUGGGGAAAAGAAAAUAAAUCGGCGGUGGCGAGGCUGUUCGUCCGUCGUCCAUUCUUGUUGAUCCUGUGGUUCCGUCGGGGCACUGUCUGUACAAAAUCUUCACGGUUUGUAGAACCGCUCCGCAUGUUUUUUCGCUUGAACUGAGUCCAUUUGAUCUGUUGGGUCUGUACAAUCCCUGUACCUGAGUCCAUUCGGAGAACUACGUUAUUAUAAGGAUAAUGAAUCACACAAAGGAUUUUUCUUUGUGCUGCUUUCAACUUGGUCCGUCUGCUCGAUUGGUGCGCAGCCUUGGGCCCGGCGUGUGUGCGCUUGUCGCAGGCGUAUCGGUUUUCGGCCAUCUUGAUAGUUCUUUCUGAGUUGUGCCUGAUAUCAACGAUCUCUCUUGAUCCGUGAAUCAAUACAAAAAUCAAUGGGCUCUGACCAAGUUAGCUUAUCUUCUUCUUAAUGAAAAGACAGAGCUCUUGCCUGUUGCUCGAAAGGAAAACUUGGGCCGUUUGUAGAUCUCAGUGUCCCCAGGCUGCCAGACGCUGCUAUAGUGCUAUGACCAUUGUGGAGGAGGGCGGUCCGUUUGCAGAUGGUCGCUCCGUUGCCGGACGGCCCUCUCUUUCUCUCUGUCUCUCAGCUCUGAAGAAACGAGACAAGGAAUCAUGCAGCGCAAAGUUCUGCUCUGCUUUUAUGCUCUUAUUUUCCUUUUAUUUAUUCAGUAAAACAGAUCGUACCGUACUGCUGCAUAGCUUGCAGCUAACUCCACAAUGCCUGUGCCAUCCCACGGACGAAGUCGUGCAGCUGGCCUGCUCCCUGAACGCACGGAGCGCACAGCGAGCGUGCCCUGCUGCAGAUACUGAACUUGAUAGAAAAGUAGUGAAGAAGCUGCUAUCUGAAACGCCUACUGAUUUUGGCUGCCAUGGCUCCCAGGUUUCCCACCCGUGCACACUUCACCGUGCUUUGCCCUAUGUAUGUGGAGUGCCUGUGCCGUGCGUUCUGCGUUUGGUGGUGUUGAACCUGCUGGGUGCACGGUGCACCCCACGGAUCAUCGAGUGCCGCCCGGAGCCAAUCCCCAACAAACAGCUACUGAAUCAACAAAGGCACAAGUAAUUUUCCGAUAAAGGGUGUAUUUUAUUAAUUUGAAAUGAAGCAUCAAGGGGAUACAAGCACAAUGAGUACACACCCAUCCCGGCCUCAAGCAACAAAGGCACAACUAUGUAUCUCGAUUUUUCUUUUUAAGGAAGAUCCAUAUAAAAUCGUGGACUUGGCAUCUUUUACAGAGACGGCGAGGAGCUCCCGAUACCCCAAUUCCGUGAAACCGGCCUACUUACUUUGCUAAAGGCACAAAGAACUGGAAACUGAACCGGACAAGAUUACACACGAACUGAAUAAUAUCCGGAGGCGGAAGGCCUAUGGCCUGGGGUGCUUUUUGUGCGCCGGCGGGGAGCUGUGGCCGUGCAUGGCCACGCCGCUGUAGUCCGCGCUGGAGAUCAGCCCUUCCGUCGCAACCGCCUCCUCGUCCUCGUUCCUCCAGCCCGCCUUCCUCCUCUCUUCAACACUCUCCACUCCCAUAGGCACAACCUGCACUUGUGCUUCGUCGUCAAAAAACUCUGAUGGUGCCAUACAUUUUCUUCUGAACAAAACAAAUUUCUUCUGAGCAGAAAAUGGUGCGUGCUUCGUUCAGAGACAGGUACACAGCUGAAUAACAGCUGCAGAGUCUCUGCUCAAAUUACACGGGAAACUCUGUUUUGGGGUCUCUGAAUUUCUUGGUGGGGGCAAAAUGAACUGACCUCAUGCUGCUCCUCGUGGUCGCCUUCACGCCGGUAAUGGUGGUGGUGUGCCGGUUCCUCUCUGCCUCUGCGACCUAGAACACGACCUUGUAGACUGUCCGGGGAGGGGUGCUGAAGAGAAGAUCUGGAGGAGGCGUCGUCCGCGAGAGUGGCUAGAAGAAGGCUUGAAACACACACUACGGUGAGCAGCUUUUCCAUGGUGGUGGUGCCUGUGGCAGCUGACAAUAAUGGAGAGGAGGAAGCUCUUGUAGAACGCUCUCUCAUCGGUGUCUUUACCAGACACACAUCGGCGAGGGUUGCACAAAAUGCAUAAUGGCACCUCGGCUUAGGCAUAUUUUCAAACUAGGCCCCAUUUGAAGAAAAAAUGUCAUAAUCGGCUUGGAGUCGGCAUGACAUUGUCGAUAACAGUCAAAAAGUAUUCCUUGUCCCUAAGGAUUAGGGCUGGAAUUUGAGCCGAGUCAAGCCGGCUCGUUUCAUUAACGAGGUAGCUCGGCUCGACUCGACUCGUUACUAUAACGAGGUCAAAUUCAAGAUUGGCUCGACUUGUAUAACUCACAAGCUGGCUCGUUUAGCUUGUUAUAAGCUUGUUAAAGAUACGAACAAAAAAUCUUACAAAUAUAAUAAAAACGAUUACUUGGGAAUGUAACAUGUACAUAAUGAGCAUGUACAAUGUUCAUAAACAAUUGUAAGUAUGUACGAGCUUCGGUAACAUCAACAAGUCAGACAGAAGAAUGCAAGCAUAGAUCAGUAGUAGAGGAACUAAAGGAAGAUAAGGAGGAGAUGAGCAGUGUUGCCGGGGAGUGUCCGACGAACGCACCUCAGAAGCGCAGGCCGCUGGCCGAAGAGGUGGGGUUGCGGCAUACACACGGUACUGCCGCCAUCGCGUUUCACAGGUAAAAUAAACAGAGAAGACAAGAGGGGAAUCGGUCAUCUAUAACUUCACUGGGGAUGGAAGGAGAGAAAUAGUCGCGUGCGAUGUAUGAGUCUCCCGGGCGGUUGAGCCUUGUGUUGUGCGCCUAGGACGCAGGGAGUUGAGUGGCUGAUCUUUUGUACCGAGUCUAACGAGUUACAUGAGUACUCGUGAAAUUGUCUCGUUUAACUCGGUCUAUAAACGAUCUUAAACUAAAGGUUGGCUCGACUAGUUAUUAUUUGAGUUCGAGAGGAUUCGAGCCAAGGCGCGAGCUACUUGCUUAGCUCGCAAGCUUCGAGCCUUUUUCCUAGGGCUGCUUAAGAUCAACGCCCCACCUUGGAACCGCAGUUGUAGUGGUUGGACUCUUGAAUUGAUCUAAAGUGCCUGAAACAUAUCCCCCUUUUGUGCACGUACAAACAAGAAACCCUAUUCUCUCCCUUACCCCCUCCCCCCAAAGGAGACAACGAGGAAUUUACGCCAGAUCUCUGUCGACUCUGUCCCGAUGCACAAAUUUGAGGAGGAUCGAGGCUCUGAAUCCCAGCUCGAAGAUGAAUCGCCACCAUCUGUCCGAGCGCCGCUCCCCCGAGGACCAAAAGACCCUAACCUAAACUACUAGCUAGAAUCGAGGCACCGUGAUUCUCCUACCCGCCACCAGCCAUAGGAGCGGCAGGUUAGGGGGGUGGCGAAUCUAUGGUCUAAUCAAUGGAGCUUGGAGGGGAGGAAAAUGUUGGCCUAAGCACCUACGCGCGAGGGAAAGCAAAAUAUUGUAUGAUCACCUCUGGGUGAGAAUACACAUAUUUCAACAUUGAGAAGUUACAUGUGGUAUAUGGUGCGGUGGAGUUGCAGAUGGAGCUGUAGUAAUCCAUGAAUAUUUGUACAAGAAAAUAGGUGGGGAAAACUUAGAAAAAUGGAAGGUAUGAUAGUUAGUUGUAAGUUUAUUUUUGAAGGUUGGGCAUCAAACACUGAUGGAGAUAGUUAGUUAAGUUUUCAAACACUCUUGAUUAGGGGUGACAUUUAUGGUUCAUCCAUUCCCAUGAUCCUUUUUGUGUACCACUUCAUGUGGACUAUAAUCAAUAAAGCUUAGCUAUAGCCCUAAAAAAGAUAUCCGGUAACUGCGCAGGGCCCUGAUAUCGAAACACAUUAGUACUACUUCCUCCAUCCAUAUAUAUAGGGCCUAAGGGCAUCUCCAAGGCAGACCCGCAAACUGCCCACAUCCGUCCGGACCACGGGAGCCAUCCAACGCGGGUCUGCAUCGGUCCGGACGCAGUUUCUCCUGCAAAAUGGAGACAAAAGUGGGGAAGCUUUGCGGGAGUCCGGACUCGCGAGACAUAGGAAUCCGACACCCCAGGCCCACCAAAAACCCUUCCCGGACCCCACGACUCCAUCCUCCCCAUUUCCUAUCCUUCGUUCUUUCUCUCUUGCCGCCGCCGUCACUCCACCACCCCGGCCACUAUGCCACACCCCUGCCAGAAAUCUACGUCUCCGUCACCUCUAGCACUCCAUCAGGGCUCUUCGCCACUUCUCCUCCGUCUCCGUUCAACCCCCUGUCUUCCAAACGCCCCCAGGUAGCAUCCUCUACCGUGCCUGGCAACUGUUUGAUGAAUCGUCGGAGCUGAAAACAAUUGUCCCUUAAUGAAUUCCGAUUUGGAGUACAUAUACGAGCAUUAUGUUGAGUAGUACUCCGAUGAGAUGGCGAUGAUGCAGGCAGUCCUUGAAGAUGCCGAGCGUGCGAAGGAGCAUGUUCUCAAUUUCAAGGGUUUGAUCAAGGGUCAUCGAGUGCUCAACCGCAACAGGGCGUGUGGGCAUUUGACACUUAUGGUUGACUACUUUGCCCCCGAUACACUAUUUGUUGACCAUUUUCGUCGGAGUUUUUGGAUCCGCAAGACUGUCUUCGAUCGUUUGUACCAUGGUGUCUGGUCCUACGAUGACUACUUCAUCCUAAAGGAUGUCGUGGAAACAAUUGGCUUCUCUAGUUACAAGAAGAGCACGGCUGCACUCCGGAUGCUUGCAUAUGGUAUGGCCGCUGAUUCAUGGGACGAGUACCUACGGAUGUCUGAGAGCACAUGGGGAGAUGUUGUCGGUGUCAAAACCGGCGGAUCUGGGGUAGGGGGUCCCGAACUGUGCGUCUAAGGUCGAUGAUAACAGGAGACAGGGGACACGAUAUUUACCCAGGUUCAGGCCCUCUCUAUGGAGGUAAUACCCUACUUCCUGCUUGAUUGAUCUUGAUGAAUACAAGAGUUGAUCUACCACAAGAUCGUAAUGGUUAAAUCCUAGAAGUCUAGCUUGUAUGAUUGUCAUAAUAAUCUAUCGACUAGCCUGGCCUUGGCUUAUAUAAUGCACCAGAGGCCUAGGAUAACAAGAGUCCUAGCCGAAUACGUUGGUGGAGAGGAGUCCUUGUCUUGAUCACCAAGUCUUGUGGAAUACUCCUUGUAUGAGGCAUGGGCUGCCCGAAGUGGCCCAUGAGUGAAAUGCCAUGGGGGUCCUUGGCCCGAUCCACCUGGUCAGGAUAGGAUGUGGUGAGUACCCCCUAGUCCAAGACACCGUCAGUAGCCCCCUGAACCGGUCUUCAAGUUGGGGACGCUCCUCGAUCCUUCCGAACUGUUCUUCAUCUUCGGUCGUCGGUCUUGAAAACUGGUUCAACAAAUCUUCUCGUCUUCGAUCUUGAGGAUCGCAGAAGUGAAUCCGAAGUGUUUACACAUCGGGUAUCUGAGGAGCCCCUUUAAGUUCUCGGCCUUUAUCAAUGCCUUAGGAUUAUUUUUCACGCCACACGUCGGGUUUGAAGUUGUUCCCGUGCGACGGUGUCCUCUUGCAUCCGAGCUCCAACGUCGGACUGCAUUCGAGAUAUCUUUUGCAGCCGAGCACCAACGCUGGACUAUAUCCGAGCUCCAAUGCCAGACUAUAUCCGAGGUGUCAUACAUCACCUUGGCUUGAAUUUUUUUGAAGGAGGUUAUCCGAGUUUAACGUUGAAAAGUUCUCUAUGGAACGAGCCAUUCGAAUCCGGGCUUUAUGCCGAACCACUUCCGAGCUCCAACGAUGGUCAGCGUCCGAGGUGUCGUAAACUACCUUGGUCUUUUAAAAGAUUGAACGAAUUCAGCCGAGCUUAAUGCCGGAAAUGCCCUUUAUGGAGCCAGCCACUGGCGCCCGAGCUUUUAUGUCGGACUGCUUCCGAGGUGGUGCACCACCCUGACCACGGGCUGAUUUUUGUGAAUAUUUUUGAUUGGUGCAAUUUACUCUCUGCUGAGAUAUAUAGCCAGUAUAUGUAUAUCCGGUAGCCCUUAAGGUGUGUGUUGGUCUAAACCCGAGGUGCACCUGAAGGAAAACAUAAAACUGCUGAUCCCGGUAGCCCCUAAGACUCAGGUCGAUUUGCAAAAUCGGCCUGAGGAUCAACUCCUAGCUCGGCAGCAUAUGUAGGAAUAGAAACGCAGUAUAAUAUAUUAGAGAUAAUAGUGAUCGGCGAACGGGCCCUUGAGAGAGGGUUUUGAGAAGUUGCCGCAAUAUAUUAACUUGACGCCAGAUAGGUCCAGAUGGUACCUAUUGUUGUCCGAAGACGCGUUUGCCCAUAGUUCGGUCAAGCCGAACACUAAGCACUUUGAAUUUUCUGCACUGAACAGGCAACGCAGUAGCCCCCGAGACACUGGUCGGGUGGCAACACCAGAUUAGGGGAUCGAUGUCCCCCUUUAAUAUUUAUAAAUAAUGAGUGCGAAGCCUAGUAGCCCCCGAGCCUUAAUGUGGGCACGGGUGGCCGAAUUAAGGAUCGAUAUCCGUGUGAAUUUUUUGUUGUUGUGUUUAACACAAACUUCUCGAAAAGAGAAUAAAGAUCUCUUAAAGGAGCUAGAGCCAGCGAAAGCUGGGCUCGCCAAGGUUGACCCCAAGGGGCUUAAUAGAUAGGAAAUCGAUGCCAUUUGGGAUUUAGGAGAGCUUUAUGUAAGUUGCUCGCUUGGUCUUUAAAAGAUGAGCUGCAAUAAAUCGACUUUACUCACAAUUUAUGAUCUUAUGUAUCCAAGUAUUUUACAUCAUUAAUGCUCGGAUUCACAUUGUACAAAACUUUGUUGACCGACUAUCGGCUUCCACCUCCUCGGCCAGCAGCCAAGGAGUGUUUGUCCUUCUUUAUAAAGCCUUCAUGAGAGCAAAGAUUUACGACAAACAAGGCAAUCUAGUCAUACGGUUUGAAAAACAAAGGUACACUGCGAGAUAUGUUAUAUUACUUAAUGUAAGAAACAUCUUCCAAGGAAAAUAGUCCCGCUAUCGGUUCCUUUCAUUGGGUCGUCAUGCUUAUCAUGAUCAUGAAACCUCACCUCCGAUCAAUGUGAGAGGAAAAUAUUGAGGAUUUAGUUUGGGGAAAGUUCCCGAACUCUAUGGUAUUAAUGAACCAAAAUUUUCACUUCCGUCGUUGCUGACCAAUGUGAUCCUUUAAGAUCACUAGCUUUCGGCUUCACCCAGUCUGAGGUACUAACUCGGAUGACGCGGUAGUAACAAUCACAGAGGUGCUCCCUUUACCGCCUAGCAGAACAAUCGGGAACGUAGGGGUAAGCACAGGAGUCAGGCAACCCAACUUGGCAAAAAUCUUAAGUCAAAUUGAUGCAUAUUUAUGGCUUUAUAACGAUGAUUACGGAAGGCGGCCCUUGUGUAUUAAAUACAAAUGACGAUGAUAUGUUUAUUUUGACUCUGUUGUGACCAUUUAUAAGUUGAAAGUGACCCAUCAUCGGCUUCUACCCCUUUGUAGAUACUAUGCAGGGUGUCUCCACAAUAACAAGACAACCCUUAGCCGACGUCUCGGUGCCCGAAGGCGGUUGUGUUAGCGAAAAUGAGGCAAUCAGAUAUGCGGGCUUUAUAACUUUCACUUAGUCAUAGGAGUUUUAAACUGGGGAAGCUAGCUACGAGCCCCUGGUUAGUGUUCAGCGACAGCCGAGGUCAAGUCGUAAACACUUCGGCCAAUGUUAUGAACGACCCGUCAUUUAACAUAGUCAUAGGAUCGCUAACCAGUUUAUGCUUAUUGUAAGAGUCAGUUUUCGGCUUUCUCCACUGAGGUGCUUAACCAUGCGAGCUGGAAGCACAAUCGCAGUGGUUCUCCCUUUGCACACCUAGCCGAACAAAGCGGAACGUAGGAGGCAAGCACAGGAGCUGGGCAACCCAACUAUUUGACCAAAGACACAAUUUGAAACCAAUGCAUAUAUAGCAAUAUCCGAGAAUGUUUUUACCGAAUCUCUAAAGGUGUCCGGAGUUGCACUGCGAGACUUAUGCUGGAAACACACAAAUAGUUUAAAAGUGCCAUAAGCUUGGAAAACCAAAAAACGUCAGUAAAAACUUGACAUCCGAACGAGAUCAAGUGUUCGGUGCCAAUCCAAAAAUUGGAAAAAAUUGUGCUUCUGUCGUGCUUUAACAUGACACAUCCGAUCUCAAGACUUCAAGCGGGUCAGCCUACGGCUUCAGGCUCCUUAUCCCAAAGGCGGAGUACUUCUCCGAGGUCAGUUUAGCAAACUAAACUCGAGCGGCUUUUAGAGAGAGAAGACACGCUAUCCGGUUAUUGACCAUACACUCGAGUCAAAAAAGGAGCGAUAGAAAAAGACUUUGCAACGACCAAGAAGAAAACACAUUUACUAUAAAACAACUCAUAUAAAUUUUAAGAGCCCCCAAGUGACUUGGGUAAAAUAAUUUUAUUUAUAAUGUCUGUAUGUACCGAAGUACUUAUAUCAUAUCUGUGUUCACCCGAACUUUAAACGUGUCUUAACCGACCGUCGGCUUCUCCCUCUUCGAUUAAGGGCCGAAAAGUGUUAUGUACUCCACCCGUCGAGAAUAUCGAUGAUAUUUUUGAUAACCAGGUAAUCAGGCCAUAAGGCUGUGACAGACAAAGCGCGCUCAGGGAACUUAUGCUAUAUUACUGACGAAGUGUAAGAAGCAUCUUCGAAGAAAAUAGUACCCCCACCGAUACCUUUCUUCGGUUGCUCAUUGUUACUAUGAGACUUGUGCAAUAGAUUUUUGCACUCAUGAGUUCCAUUGUGUGCCGACCAUGAUUAAAAACAAUAAGGGCACUAGCUUUCGGCUUCACCCAGUCUGAGGUACUGACUCGGAUUACCCGAUAGUAACAAUCACAGAGGUGCUCCCUUUACCACCUAGCCGAACAAUUGGGAACGUAGCGGUAAGCACAGGAGCCAGGCAACCCAGCUUGCGAAACACUUAAGUCAACAUGGUGCAUAUUGUGGCCUAAUACACAAACAAGGAACAAAGCCAUACAAGUAUAAUCAUAUGCAAGAGGAAAUGCUUCAUAAAGGAAGCCCCUAAAUAAACAGGAUAUUUGAAUUUGUGUGUCACAAACAAAGUUUUGACAAGGAAUUUUGUCACAAACAACUUUUUGCCAAAAAGUACAAUGCUUGGUCAAACCGAACAAAAUUUAAAACGGAAAGUUUUUGAGCAUGAAAGCGACUUAGCUGGUUAAUGUGCUCGGUGUUGAUGACGCGAUUCGGGCUUGUGGCGGGACGAAGACGUCCAUUGAUCUGUGACAGAUCCGACAAGGUUCGCAGUCCUCGGCAUGACUGAGGUGUUGGGGAACUCAGUAAUUUCAAAAAUUUCCUACGCACACGCAAAAUCUAUCAUGGUGAUGCAUAGAAACGAGAGGGGAAGAGUGUUGUCCACGUACCCACGUAGACCGUAAGCGGAAGCGUUAUGACGACGCGGUUGAUACGUCUUCACGAUCGACCGAUCCUAGUAUCGAAAGUACGGCACCUCCGCGGUCUGCACACAUUCGGCUCGGUGACGUCCUACGAACUCACGAUCCAGCAGAGUGUCGAGGGAGAGCUUCGUCAGCACGACGGCGUGAUGACAGUGAUGAUGAUGUUACCGGAACAGAGCUUCGCCUAAGCACCGCUACGAUAUGACCGAGGUGGAUUAUGGUGGAGGGGGGCACCGCGCACGGCUGGAAACAAUCAACUUGUGUGUCUAUAGGGUGCCCCCUGGCCACGUAUAUAAAGGAUGGAGGAAGGACGAGGCCGGCCCUCAUACGGCGCGUCCAAAGUGUGGAGUCCUACUAGGACACCCUAGUCCUAGUAGGAUUCCACCUCCCACAUGGAAUAGGAAAAAGGGAAGGGAGAAGGAGAAGGAAGGAAGGGGGCGCCCCCUUUCCCUAGUCCAAUUCGGACCAGUCCAUGGAGAAGGGGCGCGGCCACCCUUGAGGCCUUUCUCUCCUUUCCCAUAUGGCCCAUUAAGGCCCAAUACGAAUUCCCGUAACUCUCCGGUACUCCGAAAAAUAUCUGAAUCACUCGGAACCUUUCCGAUGUCCGAAUAUAGCCUUCCAAUAAAUCGAUCUUUACGUCUCGACCAUUUAGAGACUCCUCGUCAUGUCCCCGAUCUCAUCCGGGACUCCGAACAAACUUCGGUCAUCAAAUCACAUAACUCAUAAUACAAAUUGUCACAGAAUGAUAAGCGUGUGGACCCUACGGGUUCUAGAACUAUGUAGACAUGACCGAGACUCAUCUCCGGUCAAUAACCAAUAGCGGAACCUGAAUGCUCGUAUUGGUUCCUACAUAUUCUACGAAGAUCUUUAUCGGUCAAACCGCAUAACAACAUAUGUUGCUCCCUUUGUCAUCGGUAUGUUACUUGCCCGAGAUUCGAUCGUCGGUAUCUUAAUACCUAGUUUAAUCUUGUUACCAGCAAGUCUCUUUACUCGUUCUGUAAUGCAUCAUCCUGCAACUAACUCAUUAGUCACAUUCCUUGCAAGGCUUAUAGUGAUGUGCAUUACCGAGAGGGCCCAGAGAUACCUCUCCGAUAGACGGAGUGACAAAUCCUAAGCUCGAUCUAUGCCAACUCAACAAACACCAUUGGAGACACCUGUAGAGCAUCUUUAUAAUCACCAAGUUAUGUUGUGACGUUUGAUAGCAAACAAGGUGUUCCUCCGGUAUUCGGGAGUUGCAUAAUCUCAUAGUCAGAGGAACAUGUAUAAGUCAUGAAGAAAGCAGUAGCAAUAAAACUGAACGAUCAUUAUGCUAAGCUAACGGAUGGGUCUUGUCCAUCACAUCAUUCUCUAAUGAUGUGAUCCCGUUCAUCAAAUGACAACACAUGUCCAUGGCUAGGAAACUUAACCAUCUUUGAUUAACGAGCUAGUCAAGUAGAGGCAUACUGCUACCUCUUGAGCACUGCAUUGGUUUUCCCCGAAGAGGAAGGGAUGAUGCAGCAAAGUACCGUAAGUAUUUCCCUUGGUUUUUGAGAACCAAGGUAUCAAUCUAGUAGGAGGCUACGCGCGAGUCCCUCGUACCUGCACAAAACAAAUAAAUCCUCGCAACCAACGCAAAUAGGGGUUGUCAUCCCUAUAAGGCCACUUACGAGAGUGAGAUCUGAUAGAUAUGAUAAGAUAAUAUUUUUGGUAUUUUUAUGAUAAAGAUGCAAAGUAAAAUAAAGGCAAAGUAAAUAGCAAAGGAAAUAACUAAGUAGUAGGAGACUAAUAUGAUAAAGAUAGACCCGGGGGCCAUAGGUUUCACUAGUGGCUUCUCUCGAGAGCAUAAGUAUUCUACGGUGGGUGAAUAAAUUACUGUUGAGCAAUUGACAGAACUGAGCAUAGUUAUGAGAAUAUCUAGGUAUGAUCAUGUAUAUAGGCAUCACGUCCGAGACAAGUAGACCGACUCCUGCCUGCAUCUACUACUAUUACUCCACUCAUCGACCGCUAUCCAGCAUGCACCUAGAGUAUUAAGUUAAAAACAGAGUAACGCCUUAAGCAAGAUGACAUGAUGUAGAGGGAUAGACUCAUGCAAUAUGAAGAAAACCCCAUCUUGUUAUCCUUGAUGGCAACAAUACAAUACGUGCCUUGCUGCCCCUACUGUCACUGGGAAAGGACACCGCAAGAUUGAACCCAAAGCUAAGCACUUAUCCCAUUGCAAGAAAGAUCAAUCUAGUAGGCCAAACCAAACUGAUAAUUCGAAGAGACUUGCGAAGAUAACCAAUCAUACCUAAAAGAAUUCAAAGAAGAUUCAAAUAUUGUUCAUAGAUAGACUUGAUCAUAAACCCACAAUUCAUCGGUCUCAACAAACACACCGCAAAAAGAAGAUUACAUUGAAUAGUUCUCCAUAAUAGAGGGGGAGAACAUUGUAUUGAGAUCCAAAAAGAGAGAAGAAGCCAUCUAGCUACUAACUAUGGACCCGUAGGUCUGAGGUAAACUACUCACACUUCAUCGGAGAGGCUAUGGUGUUGAUGUAGAAGCCCUCCAUGAUCGAUGCCCCCUCCGGCGGAGCUCCGGAACAGGCCCCAAGAUGGGAUCUCGUGGAUACAGAAAGUUACGGCGGUGGAAUUAGGGUUUUGGCUCCGUAUCUGAUCGUGUGGGGGUACGUAGGUAUAUAGAGGAGGACGGAGUACGUCGGUAGAGCAACAGGGGGCCCACGAGGGUGGAGGGCGCGCCUGGGGUAGGCAGGCCCGCCCCCCUACCUCGUGGCCUCCUCUUUUCUUUCUUGACGUAGGGUCCAAGUCUCCCUGGUCUUGUUCGUUGAGAAAAUCACGUUCUCGAAGGUUUCAUUCCGUUUGGACUCCGUUUGUUAUUCCUUUUCUUCGAAACCCUAAAACAGGCAAAAAACAGCAAUUCUGGGUUGGGCCUCCGGUUAAUAGUUUAGUCCCAAAAAUAAUAUAAAAGUGAAUAAUAAAGCCCAGUAAUGUCCAAAACAGUAGAUAAUAUAGCAUGGAGCAAUCAAAAAUUAUAGAUACAUUGGAGACGUAUCAAGCAUCCCCAAGCUUAAUUCCUGCUCGUCCUCGAGUAGGUAAAUGAUAAAAAACAGAUUUUUUUGAUGCGGAGUGCUACUUGGCAUAAUUUUAAUGUAAUUCUUCUUAAUUGUGGUAUGAAUAUUCAGAUCCGAAAGAUUCAAGACAAAAGUUCAUAUUGACAUAAAAAUAAUAAUACUUCAAGCAUACUAACUAAGCAAUUAUGUCUUCUCAAAAUAACAUGGCCAAAGAAAGUUCAUCCCUACAAAAUCAUAUGGUUUAGUCAUGUUUCAUUUUCGUCACACAAAAAUGAUCUCAUCAUGCACAACCCCGAUGACAAGCCAAUCAAUUGUUUCAUACUUUAGUAAUCUCAAACCUAUAAACUUUCAUGCAAUAUAUGAGCGCGAGCCAUGGACAUAGCACUAUGGGUGGAAUAGAAUAUAAUGAAGGGGGUUAUGUGGAGAAGACAAAAAGGGAGAAAGUCUCACAUCAACGAGGCUAAUCAAUGAGCUAUGGAGAUGGCCACCGUUGAUGUUAAUGCAAGGAGUAGGGAUUGCCAUGCAACGGAUGCACUAGAGCUAUAAAUGUAUGAAAGCUCAACAAAAGAAACUAGUGGGUGUGCAUCCAACUUGCUUGCUCAUGAAGACCUAGGGCACUUGAGGAGGACCAUUGUUGGAAUAUACAAGCCAAGUUCUAUAAUGAAAAAUUCCCACUAGUAUAUGAAAGUGACAAAACAAGAGACUCUCUAACAUGAAGAUUAAGGUGCUAGUUUGAAGCACAAGUGUGGCAAAGGAUAGUAACAUUGUCCCUUCUCUCUUUUUCUCUCAUUUUUUCUUUUUUUUUCUUUGGGCCUUUUCUCUUUUUUUAUGGCCUUUCUCUUUUUUGGGCCUUUUCUUUUUUAUGGCCUUUCUCUUUUUUUUAUUCCUCACUUGGGACAAUGCUCGAAAAUGAUGAUCAUAACACUUCUAUUUAUUUACAACUCAAUGAUUACAACUCGAUACUAGAACAAAAGAUGACUCUAUAUGAAUGCCUCCGGUGGUGUACCGGGAUAUGCAAUGGACCAAGAGUGACAUGUAUGAAAGAAUUAUGAACGGUGGCUUUGCCAUAAAUACUAUGUCAACUACAUGAUCAUGCUAAGCAAUAUGACAAUGAUGAAUGUGUCAUGAUGAACGGAAUGAUGGAAAGUUGCAUGGCAAUAUAUCUCGGAAUGGCUAUGGAAAUGCCAUAAUAGGUAGGUAUGGUGGCUGUUUUGAGGAAGAUAUAAGGGGUUUAUGUGUGAAAGAGCGUAUCAUAUCACGGGGUAUGGAUGCACCGGCGAAGUUUGCGCCAACUCUCAAUGUGAGAAAGGGCAAUGCACGGUACCGAAGAGGCUAGCAAGGAUGGAAGGGUGAGAGUGCGCAUAAUUCAACAUUAGUCAUAAAGAACUCACAUACUUAUUGCAAAAAUCUACCAGUCAUCAAAAACCUCAGUACUACGCACAUGCUCCUAGGGGGAUAGAUUGGUAGGAAAAGACCAUCGCUCGUCCCCGACCGCCACUCAUAAGGAGGACAAUCAAAUAACACCUCAUGUUUCAAAUUUGUUGCAUAACGUUUACCAUACGUGCAUGCUACAGGACUUGCAAACUUCAACACAAGUAUUUCUCAAUUUCACAACUACUCAACUAGCACGACUUUGAUAUUAUUACCUCCAUAUCUCAAAACAAUCAUCAAGCAUCAAACUUCUCUUAGUAUUCAAAACACUCUUAAGAAAAUUUUACUAACUUUGAAUUCCUAGCAUAUUAGAAUUUUAGUAAAUUACCAUGCUAUUAAGAAUCUAAAAAUAAUCUAAGUGAAGCAUGAGAGAUCAAUAGUUUCUAUAAAACAAAUCCACCACCGUGCUCUAAAAGAUAUAAGUGAAGUACUAGAGCAAAACUAUAUAACUCAAAAGAUAUAAGCCAAGUACAUAGAGUAUUCUAACAAAUUCCAAAUCAUGUAUGGCUCUCUCAAAAGGUGUGUACAACAAGGAUUAUUGUGGUAAACUAAAAAUCAAAGACUCAAAUAAUACAAGACGCUCCAAGCAAAACACAUAUCAUGUGGCGAAUAAAAAUAUAGCUCCAAGUAAAGUUACCGAUAGAAGUAGACGAAAGAGGGGAUGCCUUCCGGGGCAUCCCCAAGCUUUGGCUUUUAGGUGUCCUUAGAUUAUAUUGGGGGUUCCAUGGGCAUCCCCAAGCUUAGGGUCUUUCCACUCCUUGUUCCAUAAUCCAUCAAAUCUUUACCCAAAACUUGAAAACUUCACAACACAAAACUUAAAGUAGGAAAUCUCGUGAGCUCCGUUAGCGAAAGAAAAUAAAAGACCACUUCAAGGUACUGUAAUGAACUCAUUCUUUAUUUAUAUUGGUGUUAUACCUACUGUAUUCCAACUUCUCUAUGGUUUAUAAACUAUUUUACUAGCCAUAGAUUCAUCAAAAUAAGCAAACAACACACAAAAAACAGAAUCUGUCAGAAAUAGAACAGUCUGUAGUAAUCUGUAGCUAGCGCAAGAUCUGGAACCUCAAAAAUUAUCAAAUAAAUUUCUGGACGUGAGGAAUUUAUCUAUUAAUCAUCUUAAAAAAGAAUUAACUAAAUAUCACUCUCCAAAUAAAAAUGACAGCAGUUCUCGUGAGCGCUAAAGUUUCUGUUUUUUACAGCAAGUUCAACAAGACUUUCCCCAAGUCUUCCCAACGGUUCUACUUGGCACAAACACUAAUUAAACACAAAAAAACACAACCAAAACAGAGGCUAGAUAAAUUAUUUAUUACUAAACAGGAGAAAAAAAGCAAGGAAUAAAAAUAAAAUUGGGUUGCCUCCCAACAAGCGCUAUCGUUUAACGCCCCUAGCUAGGCAUAACAAGCAAGGAUAGAUCUAGGUAUUGCCAUCUUUGUGUUGGGGAACGUAGCAUAAAUUCAAAAUUUUCCUACGUGUCACCAAGAUCUAUCUAUGGAGUCAUCUAGCAACGAGGGAGGAGUGAAUCUACAUACCCUUGUAGAUCGCGCGCGGAAGCGUUCAAGAGAACGGGGUUGAUGGAGUCGUACUCGUCGUGAUCCAAAUCACCGAUGAUCCUAGCGCCGAACGGACGGCACCUCCGCGUUCAACACACGUACGGAGCAGCAAAGUCUCCUCCUUCUUGAUCCAGCAAGGGGGAGGAGAGGUUGAUGGAGAUCCAGCAGCACGACGGCGUGGUGGUGGAAGUAGCGGGAUUCCAACAGGGCUUCGCCAAGCGCUGCGGGAGGAGGGAGAUGUGUCAUGGGAGGGAGAGGGAGGUGCCAGGGCUUGGGUUGGGAUGCCCUCCCUUCCCCCCACUAUAUAUAGGGCCAAGGGAGAGGGGGAGGCGCAGCCUUGGCCCUUCCUCCAAGGAAGGGUGCGGCCAGGGGAGGAGUCCCUCCUCCCCAAGGCACCUCGGAGGUGCCUUCCCCCUUUAGGACUCUUCCUUUCCCUCUUCUCUUGGUGCAUGGGCCUCUUGGGGCUGGUGCCCUUGGCCCAUAUAGGCCAAGGCACACCUCCUACAGCCCAUGUGCCCCCCCGGGGCAGGUGGCCCCACCCAGUGGACCCCCGGGACCCUUCCGGUGGUCCCGGUACAAUACCGGUGACCCCGAAACUUGUCCCGAUGGCCGAAAUAGCACUUCCUAUAUAUAAUUCUUUACCUACGGACCAUUUCGGAACUCCUCAUGACGUCCGGGAUCUCAUCCGGGACUCCGAAAAACUUUCGGGUUACCGCAUACUAAUAUCUCUAUAACCCUAGCGUCACCGAACCUUAAGUGUGUAGACCCUACGGGUUCGGGAGACAUGCAGACAUGACCGAGAUGACUCUCCGGUCAAUAACCAACAGCGGGAUCUGGAUACCCAUGUUGGCUCCCACAUGUUCCACGAUGAUCUCAUCGGAUGAACCACAAUGUCAAGGACUUAAUCAAUCCCGUAUACAAUUCCCUUUGUCUAGCGGUACGAUACUUGCCCGAGAUUCGAUCGUCGGUAUCCCGAUACCUUGUUCAAUCUCGUUACCGGCAAGUCUCUUUACUCGUUCCGUAACACAUCAUCCCGUGAUCAACUCCUUGAUCACAUUGUGCACAUUAUGAUGAUGUCCUACCGAGUGGGCCUAGAGAUACCUCUCCGUUUACAUGGAGUGACAAAUCCCAGUCUCGAUUCGUGCCAACCCAACAGACACUUUUGGAGAUACCUGUAGUGUACCUUUAUAGCCACCCAGUUACGUUGUGACGUUUGGCACACCCAAAGCACUCCUACGGUAUCCGGGAGUUGCACAAUCUCAUGGUCUAAGGAAAUGAUACUUGACAUUAGAAAAGCUUUAGCAUACGAACUACAUGAUCUUGUGCUAGGCUUAGGAUUGGGUCUUUGUCCAUCACAUCAUUCUCCUAAUGAUGUGAUCCCGUUAUCAAUGACAUCCAAUGUCCAUGGUCAGGAAACCGUAACCAUCUAUUGAUCAACGAGCUAGUCAACUAGAGGCUUACUAGGGACAUGGUGUUGUCUAUGUAUCCACACAUGUAUCUGAGUUUCCUAUCAAUACAAUUCUAGCAUGGAUAAUAAACGAUUAUCAUGAACAAGGAAAUAUAAUAAUAAUCAAUUUAUUAUUGCCUCUAGGGCAUAUUUCCAACAGUCUCCCACUUGCACUAGAGUCAAUAAUCCAGUUCACAUCGAUAUGUGAUUAACACUCAAGGUCACAUCCCCAUGUGACUAACACCCAAAGAGUUUACUAGAGUCAAUAAUCUAGUUCACAUUACCAUGUGAUUAACACUCGAUGAGUUCUGGGUUUGAACAUGUUAUGCUUGUGAGAGAUGUUAUAGUCAACGGGUCUGAAUCUUUCAGAUCCGUAUGUACUUCGCAAAUCUCUAUGUCAACUUGUAGAUGCAGCUACUACGCUAUAUUUGGAGCUAUUCCAAAUAACUGUUCUACUAUACGAAUCCAGUCUACUACUCAGAAUAAUCUGGAUUAGUGUCAAAGUUUGCAUCGGCGUAACCCUUUACGACGAACUCUUUUACCACCUCCAUAAUCGAGAAAAUUCCUUAGUCCACUAGUUACUAAGGAUAACUUUGACCGCUGUCAUGUGAUCCAUUCUUGGAUCACUCUUGUACCCCUUGACUAACUCAUGGCAAGGCACACUUCAGGUGCGGUACACAGCAUAGCAUACUGUAGAGAGCCUAUGAUAAAAGCAUAGGGGACGACCUUCGUCCUUCCUCUUUCUUCUGCUGUGGUCGAGCUUUAAGUCUUAACUUCACACAUUACAACUCAGGCAAGAACUCCUUCUUUGACUGAUCCAUCUUGAACACCUUCAAGAUCAUGUCAAGGUAUGUGCUCAUUUGAAAGUACCAUUAAGCGUUUUGAUCUAUCCUUAUAGAUCUUGAUGCUCAAUGUUCAAGUAGCUUAAUCCAGGCUUUCCAUUGAAAAACACUUUCCAAAUAACCCUAUAUGCUUUCCAGAAAUUCUACGUCAUUUCUGAUCAACAAUACGUCAACAACAUAUAUUUAUCAGAAAUUCUAUAGUGCUCCCACUCACUUGUUUGGAAAUACAAGUUUCUCAUAAACUUUGUAUACACCCAAAAUCUUUGAUCAUCUCAUCAAAGCAUACAUUCCAACUCCGAGAUGCUUACUCCAGUCCUCAGAAGGAUUGCUGGAGCUUUGCAUACUUAUUAGCAUUUUCAGGAUUAACAAAACCUUCCGGUUGUAUCACAUACAACCUUUCCUCAAAAAUCGUCGAGGAAACAAUGGUUUUUGGCAUCCUAUCUGCAAGAUUUCACAAAUAAUGCAGUAAUUGCUAAUAUAAUUCCAACAGACUCUUAGCAUCGCUACGAGUGAGAAAGUCUCAUCGCAGUCAACUCCUUGAACUUGUCGGAAAACAUCUUAACGACAAGUCGAGCUUUCUUAAUGGUGAUACUUACCAUCAUUAUCCGUCUUCCUUUUAAAAUCCAUAUGUACCUAACAGCCUUACGACCAUCAAGUAGUUCUUCCAAAGUCUACACUUUGUUUUCAUACAUGGAUCCUCUCUCGGAUUUUAUGGCCUCGAGCCAUUUAUCGGAAUCUGGGCCCACCAUCGCUUCUCCAUAGCUCGUAGGUUCAUUGUUGUCUAGCAACAUGACUUCUAAGACAGGAUUACGUACCACUCUGAAGUAGUACGCAUCCUUGUCAUCCCACGAGGUUUGGUAGUGACUUGAUCUGAAGUUUCAUGAUCACUAUCAUAAGCUUCCACUUCAAUUGGUGUAGGUGCCACAGGAACAACUUCCUGUGCCUUGCCACACACUAGUUGAAGAGACGGUUCAAUAACCUCAUCAAGUCUCCACCAUCCUCCCACUCAAUUCUUUCGAGAGAAACUUUUCCUUGAGCAAGGACCCGAUUCUAGAAACAAUCCCUUAUUGCUUUCGGUUCUGAGACAGGAGGUAUACCCAACUGUUUUGGGUGUCCUAUGAAGAUGCAUUUAUCCGCUUUGGGUUCGAGCUUAUCAGCCUGAAACUUUUCACAUAAGCGUCGCAACCCCAAACUUCUAAGAAAUGACAGCUUAGGUUUCUCUAAACCAUAGUUCAUAUGGUGUCAUCUCAUCGGAAUUACAUGGUGCCCUAUUUAAAGUGAAUGUGGUUGUCUCUAAUGCCUAACCCAUAAACUAUCAUGGUAAUUCGAUAAGAGACAUCAUGGUAUGCAUCAUAUCCAAUAGGGUGCAGUUAUGAUGUUCGGACACACCAUCACACUACGGUGUUCCAGGCUGUAUUAGUUGUGAAACAAUUUCCACAAUGUCUUAAUUUUGUGCCAAACUCGUAAUUCAGAUAUUCCUCUCUAUGAUCAUAUCAUAGAUAUUUUAUCCUCUUGUCACGACGAUCUUUCAACUUCACCCUGAAAUUACUUGAACCUUUCAAUAAUUCAGACUCGUGAUUCAUCAAGUAAAUAUAGUCAACAUCUACUCAAAUCAUCUGUGAAGUAAGAACAUAACGAUAUCCACUACAUGCCUCAGCACUCAUUGGAUUGCACACAUCAAAAUGUAUUACUUCCAACAAGUUGCUUUCUAGUUCCAUUUUACUGAAACUGAGGCUUUCAGUCAUCUUGCCCAUGUGGUAUGAUUUGCAUGUCUCAAGUGAUUCAAAAUCAAGUGAGUCCAAACGAUCCAUUUGUAUAGAGUUUCUUCAUGCAUAUCUACCAACAAACAUGGUUCGCAUGUCUCAAUCCUUUCAAAAAUGAGUGAGUCCAAAGAUCCAUCAACAUGGAGCUUCUUCAUGCGUUUUAUAAUGAUAUGACUUAAGUGGCAGUGCCACAAGUAGGUGGUACUAUCAUUACUAUCUUAUAUCUUUUGGCAUGAACAUGUGUAUCACUAUGAUCGAGAUUCAAUGAACCAUUCAUUUUAGGUGCAAGACCAUUGAAGGUAUUAUUCAAAUAAACAAAGUAAGCAUUAUUCUCCUUAAAUGAAUAACCGUAUUGCGAUAGACAUAAUCCAAUCAUGUCUAUGCUCAACGCGAACACCAAUCUCGAUGGUAGAGGGAGCAUGCGAUGCUUGAUCAUAUCAACAUUGGAAACACUUCCAACACAUAUCGUCAGCUCACCUUUAGCUAGUCUCCGUCUAUUUCGUAGCUUUUAUUUCGAGUUACUAACACUUAGUAACCGAACCGGUAUCUAAUACCCUGGUGCUACUAGGAGUACUAGUAAAGUACACAUCAACACAAUGUAUAUCCAAUAUACUUCUAUCGACAGCCUUCUCAUCUACCAAGUAUCUAGGGUAAUUCUGCUCCAGUGGUUGUUCCCCUUAUUACAGAAGCACUUAGUCUCGGGUUUGGGUUCAACCUUGGGUUUCUUCACUAGAGCAGCAGCUGAUUCGCCGUUUCAUGAAGCAUCCCUUUUGCCCUUGCCCUCCUUGAAACUAGUGGUUUCACAAACCAUCAACAAUUGAUGCUCCUUCUUGAUUUCUACUUUUGUGGUGUCAAACAUCGCGAAUAUCUCAAGGAUCAUCAUAUAUGUCCCUGAUAUAUUAUAGUUCAUCACAAAGCUCUAGCAGCUUGGUGGUAAUGACUUCGGAGAAACAUCACUAUCUCAUCUGGAAGAUCAACUCCCACUCGAUUCAAAUGAUUGUUGUACUCGGACAAUCUGAGCACAAGCUCAAUAAUUGAGCUUUUCUCCCUUAGUUUGCAGGCUAGGAAAAUCGUCGGAGGUCUUAUACCUCUUGACGUGGGCACGAGCCUGAAAUCCCAAUUUCAGUCCUUGGAACAUCUCAUAUGUUAUGCGAUGUUCCAAAAACAUCUUUGGUGCCUUAAUUCUAAACCAUUUAGCAAUACGCACUGAACUAUCAUGUAGUCAUCAAAACGUGUAUGUCAGAUGUUCGCAACAUCCACAGACGACGUUCGAGGUUCAGCACACUGAGCGGUGCAUUAAGGACAUAAGCCUUCUAUGAAGCAAUGAGGACAAUCCUCAGUCUACGGACCUAGUCCGCAUAAUUGCUACUAUCAACUUUCAACUAAAUUUACUCUAGGAACAUAUCUAAACAGUAGAACUGAAGCGCGAGCUACGACAUAAUUUGCGAAGACCUUUUGACUAUGUUCAGGAUAAUUAAGUUCAUCUUAUGAACUCCCACUCAGAUAGACAUCCCUCUAGUCAUCUAAGUGAUUACAUGAUCCGAGUCAACUAGGCCGUGUCCGAUCAUCACGUGAGACGGACUAGUCAACAUCGGUGAACAUCUUCAUGUCGAUUGUAUCUACCAUACGACUCAUGCUCGACCUUUCGGUCUCUUGUGUUCCGAGGCCAUGUCUGUACAUGCUAGGCUCGUCAAGUCAACCUAAGUGUUUCGCGUGUGUAAAUCUGGCUUACACCCAUUGUAUGUGAACGUAAGAAUCUAUCACACCCGAUCAUCACGUGGUGCUUCGAAACGACGAACUUUCGCAAUGGUGCACAGUUAGGGGGAACACCUUAUUGAAAUUUUAGUGAGGGAUCAUCUUAUUUACUACCGUCGUUCUAAGUAAACAAGAUGUAUAAACAUGAUAAACAUCACAUGCAAUCAAAUAAUAGUGACAUGAUAUGGCCAAUAUCAUAUAGCUCCUUUGAUCUCCAUCUUGGGGCUCCAUGAUCAUCUUGUCACCGGCAUGACACCAUGAUCUCCAUCAUCAUGAUCUCUAUCAUCGUGUCUUCAUGAAGUUAUCUCGUCAACUGUUACUUCUACUACUAUAGCUAACGGUUAGCAAUAAAGUAAAGUAAUUACAUGACGUUUAUGUUGACACGCGGGUCAUAAAUAAAUUAAGACAACUCCUAUGGCUCCUGCCGGUUGUCAUACUCAUCGACAUGCAAGUCGUGAUUCCUAUUACAAGAACAUGAUCAAUCUCAUACAUCACAUAUAUCAUUCAUCACAUCCUUUUGGCCAUAUCACAUCACAUAGCAUACCCUGCAAAAACAAGUUAGACGUCCUCUAAUUGUUGUUUGCAUGUUUUACGUGGCUGCUAUGGGUUUCUAGCAAGAAUGUUUCUUACCUACGCAAAAACCACAACGUGAUAUGCCAAUUGCUAUUUACCCUUCAUAAGGACCCUUUUCAUCGAAUCCGAUUCGACUAAAGUGGGAGAGACAGAAACCCGCUAGCCACCUUUAUGUAACUAGUGCAUGUCAGUCGGUGGAACCAGUCUCACGUAAGAGUACGUGUAAGGUCGGUCUGGGCCGCUUCAUCCCACAAUGCCACCGAAUCAAGAUUGGACUAGUAACGGUAAGCAUAUUGAACAAAAUCAACGCCCACAACUACUUUGUGUUCUACUCAUGCAUAGAAACUACGCAUAGACCUAGCUCAUGAUGCCACUGUUGGGGAACGUAGCAUAAAUUCAAAAUUUUCCUACGUGUCACCAAGAUCUAUCUAUGGAGUCAUCUAGCAACGAGGGAGGAGUGAAUCUACAUACCCUUGUAGAUCGCGCGCGGAAGCGUUCAAGAGAACGGGGUUGAUGGAGUCGUACUCGUCGUGAUCCAAAUCACCGAUGAUCCUAGCGCCGAACGGACGGCACCUCCGCGUUCAACACACGUACGGAGCAGCAACGUCUCCUCCUUCUUGAUCCAGCAAGGGGGGAGGAGAGGUUGAUGGAGAUCCAGCAGCACGACGGCGUGGUGGUGGAAGUAGCGGGAUUCCAACAGGGCUUCGCCAAGCGCUGCGGGAGGAGGGAGAUGUGUCAUGGGAGGGAGAGGGAGGCGCCAGGGCUUGGGUUGGGCUGCCCUCCCUUCCCCCCACUAUAUAUAGGGCCAAGGGAGAGGGGGAGGCACAGCCUUGGCCCUUCCUCCAAGGAAGGGUGCGGCCAGGGGAGGAGUCCCUCCUCCCCAAGGCACCUCGGAGGUGCCUUCCCCGUUUAGGACUCUUCCUUUCCCUCUUCUCUUGGCGCAUGGGCCUCUUGGGGCUGGUGCCCUUGGCCCAUAUAGGCCAAGGCGCACCCCCUACAGCCCAUGUGCCCCCCCGGGGCAGGUGGCCCCACCUUGUGGACCCCCGGGACCCUUCCGGUGGUCCCGGUACAAUACCGGUGACCCUGAAACUUGUCCCGAUGGCCGAAAUAGCACUUCCUAUAUAUAAUUCUUUACCUCCAGACCAUUCCGGAACUCCUCGUGACGUCCGGGAUCUCAUCUGGGACUCUGAACAACUUUCGGGUUACCGCAUACUAAUAUCUCUAUAACCCUAGCGUCACCGAACCUUAAGUGUGUAGACCCUACGGGUUCGGGAGACAUGCAGACAUGACCGAGAUGACUCUCCGGUCAAUAACCAAUAGCGGGAUCUGGAUACCCAUGUUGGCUCCCACAUGUUCCACGAUGAUCUCAUCGGAUGAACCACGAUGUCAAGGACUUAAUCAAUCCCAUAUACAAUUCCCUUUGUCUAGCGGUACGAUACUUGCCCGAGAUUCGAUCGUCGGUAUCCUGAUACCUUAUUCAAUCUCGUUACCGGCAACUCUCUUUACUCGUUCCAUAACACAUCAUCCCGUGAUCAACUCCUUGAUCACAUUGUGCACAUUAUGAUGAUGUCCUACCGAGUGGGCCUAGAGAUACCUCUCCGUUUACAUGGAGUGACAAAUCCCAGUCUCGAUUCGUGCCAACCCAACAGACACUUUCGGAGAUACCUGUAGUGUACCUUUAUAGCCACCCGGUUAUGUUGUGACGUUUGGCACACCCAAAGCACUCCUACGGUAUCCGAGAGUUGCACAGUCUCAUGGUCUAAGGAAAUGAUACUUGACAUUAGAAAAGCUUUAGCAUACGAACUACAUGAUCUUGUUCUAGGCUUAGGAUUGGGUCUUUGUCCAUCACAUCAUUCUCCUAAUGAUGUGAUCCCGUUAUCAAUGACAUCAAUGUCCAUGGUCAGGAAACCGUAACCAUCUAUUGAUCAACGAGCUAGUCAACUAGAGGCUUACUAGGGACAUGGUGUUGUCUAUGUAUCCACACAUGUAUCUGAGUUUCCUAUCAAUACAAUUCUAGCAUGGAUAAUAAACGAUUAUCAUGAACAAGGAAAUAUAAUAAUAAUCAAUUUAUUAUUGCCUCUAGGGCAUAUUUCCAACACUUUGGUAGGCAAUCCAUAAGUGGCUCUCAUAAUAGAUUCAUAAGGUAAUUUAAUUUUCUUUCUAGGAAAGUGUUCCAUGCCUUUCCUUAAUGGAAAUUGGAAUCUAAUAUUUCCUUCCUUCAUGUCAAUAAUUGCACCAAUCGUUCUAAGGAAAGGUCUAGCAAGAAUAAUAGGACAUGAAGGAUUGCAAUCUAUGUCAAGAACAAUACGAUCUACGGACACAUAAUUCCUAUUUGCAACAAUAAGAACAUCAUUAAUUCUUCCCAUAGGUUUCUUAAUAGUGGAAUCCACAAGGUGCAAGUUUAGAGAGCAAUCAUCAAAAUCACAGAAACCUAACAAAUCACACAAAGUCUUUGGAAUCGUGGAAACACUAGCACCCAAAUCACAUAAAGCAUAGCAUUCAUGAUCUUUAAUUUUAAUUUUAAUAGUUGGUUCCCACUCAUCAUAAAGUUUUCUAGGGAUAGAAACUUCCAAUUCAAGUUUUUCUUCAUAAGAUUGCAUCAAGGCAUCAACGAUAUGUUUAGUAAACGCUUUAUUUUGACUAUAAGCGUGAGGAGAAUUUAGCACGGAUUGCAACAAGGAAAUACAAUCAAUCAAAGAGAAAUUUUCAUAGUUAAAUUCCUUGAAAUCCAUAAUAGUGGGUUUAGCAACAUCUAGGGUUUUAACUUCUUCAAUCCCACUUUUAUCAAUUUAGCAUCAAGAUCAACAAAUUCCGAAUUCUUGGAACACCUUCUAGGUAAAGGUGGAUCAUAUUCAGUCCCAUCAUUAUCAAGAUUCAUAUUGUAAAACAAAGAUUUAAUAGGGGACACAUCAAUAACUUUUAGAUCUUCAUCUUUAUUUUCAAAGGAACUAGAAGAACACGCUCUUAUAAAGGCAUCUUUCUUAGCACGCAUCCUAGUGGUUCUUUCUUUGCACUCAUCAAUGGAAAUUCUCAUGGCUUUGAGAGACUCAUUGAUAUCAUGCUUAGGUGGAAUAGAUCUAAGUUUCAAAGAAUCAACAUCAAGAGAAAUUCUAUCAACGUUUCUAGCCAAAUCAUCAAUCUUAAGCAAUUUUUCUUCAAUCAUAGCAUUAAAAUUAUUUUGCAAAGUAAUAAAUUCUUUAAUAUUAGAUUAAAAAUCAGAGGGCAUCUUAUUAUAAUUUCCAUAAGAAUUGUUGUAGGAAUUACCAUAAUUAUUAGAGGGAUUACUAGGAUAAGGCCUAGGAUUAAAAUUUCCUCUAUACGCGUUGUUACCAAAAUUGUUCCUACCAACAAAAUUCACAUCCAUAGAUUCAUUAUUAUUCUCAAUCAAAGUAGACAAGGGGAUAUCAUUAGGAUCAGAAGAAACACUCUUAUUAGAAAAUAAUUUCAUAAGUUCAUCCAUCUUUCCACUCAAAACAUUAAUUUCUUCUAUCGCAUGCACCUUUUUAUUAGUAGAUCUUUCAGUGUGCCAUUGAGAAUAAUUAACCAUAAUAUUAUCUAGGAGUUUAGUAGCUUCUCCUAAAGUGAUUUCCAUAAAAGUGCCUCCCGCGGCCGAAUCUAAAAGAUUUCUAAAAGCAAAAUUCAACCCGGCAUAAAAAUUCUGAACAAUCAUCCACAAAUUUAAACCAUGAGUAGGGCAAUUACGUAUCAUUAAUUUCAUUCUCUCCCAAGCUUGUGCAACAUGUUCAUGAUCAAGUUGCUUAAAAUUCAUAAUAUCGUUUCCAAGAGAGAUGAUCUUAGCAGGAGGAAAAUACUUAGAGAUUAAAGCAUCUUUGCACUUAUUCCAUGAAUCAAUACUAUUUUUAGGCAAAGACGAAACCAAGCUUUAGCACGAUAUCUAAGUGAAAAAGGAAAUAGCUUCAAUUUAACAAUAUCAUUAUCCACAUCUUUCUUCUUUUGCAUGUCACACAAAUCAACGAAGCUAUUUAGAUGGGUAGCGGCAUCUUCACUAGGAAGCUGGAAAACGGAUCUUUCAUGACAAGAUUCAGCGAGGCAGUAUUAAUUUCACAAGAUUCAGCAUCGGUAAGAGGAGCAAUCGGAGUGCUAAUAAAAUCAUUGUUGUUGGUAUUGGUGAAGUCACACAAUUUAGUAUUAUCUUGAGCCAUCGUGACAAGAAAGCAAACUAACACACAAGCAAACAAAAAGCAAGCGGGCAAAAAGAGGCAAAUAGAGAAAGAGAGGGAGGAUAGAGAGAGAGAGGGGGCGAAUAAAACGGCAAGGGUGAAGUGGGGGAGAGGAAAACGAGAGGCAAAUGGCAAAUAAUGUAAUGCGGGAGAUAAGGGUAUGUGAUGGAUACUUGGUAUGUUGACUUUUGCGUAGACCUCCCUGGCAACGACGCCAGAAAUCCUUCUUGCUACCUCUUGAGCACUGCGUUGGUUUUCCCCGAAGAGGAAGGGAUGAUGCAGCAAAGUAGCGUAAGUAUUUCCCUCAAUUUUUGAGAACCAAGGUAUCAAUCCAGUAGGAGGCGACGCGUGAGUCCCUCGUACCUGCACAAAACAAAUAAAUCCUCGCAACCAACGCAAAUAGGGGUUGACAAUCCCUAUAAGGCCACUUACGAGAGUGAGAUCUGAUAGAUAUGAUAAGAUAAUAUUUUUGGUAUUUUUAUGAUAAAGAUGCAAAGUAAAAUGAAGGCAAAGUAAAUAGCAAAGGAAAUAACUAAGUAGUAGGAGAUUAAUAUGAUAAAUAUAGACCCGGGGGGCCAUAGGUUUCACUAGUGGCUUCUCUCGAGAGCAUAAGUAUUCUACGGUGGGUGAACAAAUUACUGUUGAGCAAUUGACAGAAUUGAGCAUAGUUAUGAGAAUAUCUAGGUAUGAUCAUGUAUAUAGGCAUCACGUCUGAGACAAGUAGACCGACUCCUGUCUGCAUCUACUACUAUUACUCCACUCAUCGACCGCUAUCCAGCAUGCAUCUAGAGUAUUAAGUUAAAAACAGAGUAAUGCCUUAAGCAAGAUGACAUGAUGUAGAGGGAUAGAUGUUGGGGAACAUAGUAAUUUCAAAAAAUUUCCUACGCACACGCAAGAUCUUGGUGAUGCAUAGCAACGAGAGGGGAGAGUGUGAUCUACGUACCCUUGUAGAUCGACAACGGAAGCGUUAACUUGGUUGAUGUAGUCGUACGUCUCCACGGUCCGACCGAUCAAGCACCGAAACUACGGCACCUCCGAGUUUUAGCACACGGUCAGCUCGAUAACGAUCCCCGGACUCCGAUCCAGCAAAGUGUCGGAGAAGAGUUCCGUCAGCACGACGGCGUGGUGACGAUCUUGAUGUUCUACCGUCGCAAGGCUUCGCCUAAGCACCGCUACAAUAUUAUCGAGGAUUAUGGUGGAAGGGGGCACCGUACACGGCUAAGAAUAUGAUCACGUGGAUCAACUUGCGUGUCCAUAGGGUGCCCCUGCCCCCGUAUAUAAAAGAGUGGAGGAGGGGAGGGCCGGCCCUCUCUAUGGCGCGCCCUAGGGGAGUCCUACUCCCACCGGGAGUAGGAUUCCGCCUUUCCUAGUCCAACUAGGAGUCCUUCCAUGUAGUAGGAUUAGGAGACAAGGAAGGGGAAGAGGGAAGAGAAGGAAGGAGGGGGCGCAGCCCCUUCCCCUAGUCCAAUUCGGACUAGGCCUUGGGGGGGCGCGCGGCCUGCCUCUCCCUCUCCUCUAAAGCCCAAUAAGGCCCAUAUACUUCUUCUCCCGUAUUCCCGUAACUCUCCGGUACUCCAAAAAAUACCCGAACCACUCGGAACCUUUCCGAUGUUCGAAUAUAGUCGUCCAAUAUAUCGAUCUUUACGUCUCGACCAUUUCGAGACUCCUCGUCAUGUCCCCGAUCUCAUCCGGGACUCCGAACUCCUUCGGUACAUCAAAACUCAUAAACUCAUAAUAUAACUGUCAUCGAAACCUUAAGCGUGCGGACCCUACGGGUUCGAGAACAAUGUAGACAUGACCGAGACACGUCUCCGGUCAAUAACCAAUAGUGGAAUCUGGAUGCUCAUAUUAGCUCCUACAUAUUCUACGAAGAUCUUUAUCGGUCAGACCGCAUAACAACAUACAUUGUUCCCUUUGCCAUCAGUAUGUUACUUUCCCGAGAUUCGAUCGUCGGUAUCUUAAUACCUAGUUCAAUCUCGUUACCGGCAAGUCUCUUUACUUGUUCCGUAAUACAUCAUCUCACAACUAACUCAUUAGUUGUAAUGCUUGCAAGGCUUAUGUGAUGUGCAUUACCGAGAGGGCCCAGAGAUACCUCUCCGACAAUCGGAGUGACAAAUCCUAAUCUCGAAAUACGCCAACCCAACAUGUACCUUUGGAGACACCUGUAGAGCUCCUUUAUAAUCACCCAGUUACGUUGUGACGUUUGGUAGCACACAAAUUGUUCCUCCGGUAAACGGGAGUUGCAUAAUCUCAUAGUCAUAGGAACAUGUAUAAGUCAUGAAGAAAGCAAUAGCAACAUACUAAACGAUCGAGUGCUAAGCUAACGGAAUGGGUCAAGUCAAUCACAUCAUUCUUCUAAUGAUGUGAUCCCGUUAAUCAAAUAACAACUCUUUUGUUCAUGGUUAGGAAACAUAACCAUCUUCGAUUAACGAGCUAGUCUAGUGGAGGCAUACUAGUGACACUCUGUUUGUCUAUGUAUUCACACAUGUAUUAUGUUUCCGGUUAAUACAAUUCUAGCAUGAAUAAUAAACAUUUAUCAUGAUAUAAGGAAAUAAAUAAUAACUUUAUUAUUGCCUCUAGGGCAUAUUUCCUUCAAUAGACUCAUGCAAUAUGAAGAAAACCCCAUCUUGUUAUCCUCGAUGGCAACAAUACAAUACGUGCCUUGCUGCCCCUACUGUCACUGGGAAAGGACACCGCAAGAUUGAACCCAAAGCUAAGCACUUCUCCCAUUGCAAGAAAGAUCAAUCUAGUAGGCCAAACCAAACUGACAAUUCGAAGAGACUUGCAAAGAUAACCAAUCAUACAUAAAAGAAUUCAGAGAAGAUUCAAAUAUUGUUCAUAGAUAGACUUGAUCAUAAACCCACAAUUCAUUGGUCUCAACAAACACACCGCAAAAAGAAGAUUACAUCAAAUAGUUCUCCACGAGAGAGGGGGAGAACAUUGUAUUGAGAUCCAAAAAGAGAGAAGAAGCCAUCUAGCCACUAACUAUGGACCCGUAGGUCUGAGGUAAACUACUCACACUUCAUCGGAGAGGCUAUGGUGUUGAUGUAGAAGCCCUCUGUGAUUGAUGCCCCCUCCGGCGGAGCUCCGAAACAGACCCCAAGAUGGGAUCUCGUGGAUACAGAAAGUUACGGCGGUGGAAUUAGGGUUUUGGCUCCGUAUCUGAUCGUUUGGGGGUACGUAGGUAUAUAUAGGAGGAAGGAGUACGUCGGUGGAGCAACAGGGGGCCCAUGAGGGUGGAGGGCGCGCCUGGGGUAGGCAGGCGCGCCCCCUACCUCGCGGCCUCCUCUUUUAUUUCUUGACAUAGGGUCCAAGUCUCUCUGGUCUUGUUCGUUGAGAAAAUCACGUUCCCAAAGGUUUCAUUCCGUUUGGACUCCGUUUGAUAUUCCUUUUAUUCGAAACCCUAAAACAGGCAAAAAACAACAAUUCUGGGCUGGGCCUCCGGUUAAUAGGUUAGUCUCAAAAAUAAUAUAAAAGUGGAUAAUAAAGCCCAAUAAUGUCCAAAACAGUAGAUAAUAUAGCAUGGAGCAAUCAAAAAUUAUAGAUACGUUGGAGACGUAUCACAUACUAGGGACACUCUGUUUGUCUAUGUAUUCACACAUGUACUAAGUUUCCGGUUAAUACAAUUUUAGCAUGAAUAAUAAACAUUUAUCAUGAUAUAAGGAAAUAUAAAUAACAACCUUAUUAUUGCCUCUAGGGCAUAUUUCCUUCACGAGGUCCCAGCCUCCAAGCCUGAGGUGUCCGAGCAAGAGUUUGGCACUCCGAGGUAGUCACACGGCUCGGCCAAUGCAAGCCGGCAGAGUGACGCCGAAGUCCCCGGCGUGGGUUAAUGAAGUGAUGGCGAAGCCCCCAGUCCAGCCGAGGUGACGUGGUAUGUCCGUACGCCGAGGAGACAACACUGCCCGACCCGGAUCAUUUACCUAUGCACGGAAAAUAGUGCGAACCGGAGAUAAUAGUAAUAAUAAUAAAUAAAUAAAAAUCGUUGCAUAAUUAAUAAUUUGUGCAAAGUGAGUAAUAGAAGAAAUAUGGCUCGUGUGCGGAACACUCGAUGAGGUAGAGCUCUCUCAGCGAUGCCGAAGUCCCCAAGGCAACCGAGCAUGUCGGUAUGGCAAUUCGACCAACAAGGUGAUCACGCGAGCUGAUUUAUGCCGAUUGGGACGACGGCGUCGGCUUGCCGAAGUGACCACAUCACGCAGUCGAAGUCGAUUAUCUGCACAUGUAAAAUAGUGCAGGCCGACAAUAAUAAUUUAAAUAUAUAAAAAUCCUCGCGUAAUUAAUUUACGCAAGAUAAUUUAUUUAAAAAUAUGUGGUCUGACGCCGAAGUCAAUGUCGAUGCAAGGCAUCGGUGUAAUGUGGUAAAGGCGUGGCAAAGCCUGAAUUCACAGGUCGGUCCGAGUUCCGGAUGCGGCGUUCGCCGAACUAUGUACGGAAGCUGACCGAACCACCACGCGACCGUCGUUAAUGUGGCCACCAUUUGAUAGACCUGUGUACAGAUGAUAGAACAAACCAGAGUAAUAAUUCCUUGAGAAAAAUAAACGCAAAUAAGCAAAAAUUGCUAGGAUUAGUAGCAUCUAGUUUAUUUGUUGUAGCAGUCCAAAGAAAAGUGACUCCCAAAAUUGGGAAUCGAUCCGCACGACCAUUUCCUGAUGGGCGGUGAAGCGACGGUAUGGCGAUGCUGGUAAAGGUUGGCCCGCCGAAGCAAAGCCCCCGGUCCAGCUAACAACGAAGCUGGUCGGCUGACGACGCCAAAGUCUCCGGAGUAGGUUGAAGAAGGGAUGGCGAAGCCCCCGGUCUAGCCGAGGUGACGGAGCAGGUCAGUAAGGAGAUGUUGCAGCUGCCAUGUCAGCCGAGGUGUUGAAACAAUUCGGUGUGAUGGACAUCGGCUUGAAAAAGCAAAGGUGCGGCCAUGCCGGCGCAGGUCGUAACUUGUGACGCGGUCGAUGCCGGCUUGAUGAAGUGACCGUGCGGCGAUGCCGGUGUGCCCGCUCUGUGUAAUCCGUGGGGCGGCGAUGUUGGUGAUGAUUUAUCGUUCGCGAUGCCGAACUCUUGUUCGGCUUGCCUAAAUGAUGAUCCGAAGAAGUUGACAUCGGCUCAACAAAGCGAUGACGUGUCUAGCGCAGGUCGGCAGCCGUGGAGCAACGUUAUCGGGCUGGUUUGACACCGGCGCGUUGAAGAUCAUAUUGGAAAAGACUUUAAAAUUAAUGGGAUGUGUUUGGGAAUAAAACACAAUACCCCAUACAAUACUUCCUUCAAAAAGGAUGUCUGAAAUCCCGUUCAUAAAAAAGAUGAACUUUGGUCGAAUUUGUUCUCGCGCAGAAAACAGAUUAGAAAAUUGGUCCACGCAUCGAAAGGUUUCCGGAGUUUGAACGGUCCGAUCGAGCUGAAAUUUUGAGGGCUGAUAGAUAUGGGAAAUCCGCAGCAGAUGAACGGUUGGAUCUUCCAAAAGCCCUCCGGGGUUGGCUCUGGAGACCACACCCUAAACUCGUCUAGAUUCCUGUCCAGAUUUGGUAGGGCUCCGGUAUAUCGUAGAUUGCCGGAGAUUCCUCCAUCCGAACUCGACGACAUUGUGCAUGGUUGUUGUAGACUUAAUUCCACACAAUUCCACCGAAGGAAUCGUCAAAGCUAUGCUCGAGGAGGUGGUGGCAGUGGAUACAAGUUCGCUGUCCGGAAAAACAGCACGGUCGCCCGAGGACAAUGUUGACGUUGAGCCCAAGAGCUCCGAGGAUAAUUCCUCCAUGAUCAUGAUAUUGAUCGGAGUUGAUGUUGAUGAAGGCCCUCGUCAGAACAUGACUAUCGGAGGCAGGGCAUAGUCCUCGGUCAAGCCGAGGUGACUAGUCGAGCCGGUGACGAAGAUGCCGAUGUCGCAGUUAAUCUGCAGAUGAGCCAUCGAUCCUUUGCCGAUCACACAAUGGAACUCUCAAUGAAAGCACCAAUGUCGGUGUCAAAACCGGCGGAUCUCGGGUAGGGGGUCCCGAACUGUGCAUCUAAGGUCGAUGGUAACAGGACACAUGUGACACGAUGUUUACCCAGGUUCGGGCCCUCUCCAUGGAGGUAAUACCCUACUUCCUGCUUGAUUGAUCUUGAUGAAUAUGAGUAUUACAAGAAUUGAUCUACCACGAGAUCGUAAUGGCUAAAGCCUAAAAGUCUAGCUUGUAUGAUUGUCAUAAUAAUCUACCGACUAGCCCGGCCUUGGCUUAUAUAAUGCACCAGAGGCCUAGGAUAACAAGAGUCCUAGCCGAAUACGUUGGUAGAUAGGAGUCCUUGUCUUGAUCACCAAGUCUUGUGGAAUACUCCUUGUAUGCGGCAUGGGCUGCCCGAAGUGGCCCAUGAGUGAACCGCCAUGGGGGUCCUUGGCCCGAUCCACCUGGUCGAGAAACGAUGUGGUGAGUACCCCCUAGUCCAGGACACCGUCAGAUGCCAUGGCCAGGUUUGCAACUGUUGUGGUCGAGGUGUCCGGAUCUCAGUACCUGAGAGAACCAACUAGGAUAGACACCGAGAGGCUCCUGGCCAUCUCAGAAGCAAGAGGGUGGCCAGGUUUGCUUGGAUCUCUUGAAUGCAUGCAUUGAAAAUGGAAGAACUACCAGAAGGCUUUACAAGGGAAAUAUCAAGGUCAUGUUAAGAAGCCCACCAUCAUUCUUGAAGUAGUUGCAUCAUAGGAUCUUUGGAUUUGGCACGCUUUCUUUGGCAUGCUCGGGUCUCACAGUGACAUCGAUGUGUUGCAACAAUCGUCGUUGUUUGCGAGGCUGAGUGAAGGAAAAGCUUCUCCUUGCCGCUAUAAUAUCAAUGGACAUGAGUACAACAUGACUACUAUCUUGUUGAUGGUAUCUAUCCUUCAUGGGCUACCUUUGUCAGCACCAUCUCAAACCCAGUUGGCCAGAAAAAGGCUCACUUCUCCCAUAGACAAGAAGGAGCUAGAAAGGAUGUCAAGAUGCAUUUGGAGUUCUGCAGGCCCGUUUUGCAGUUGAUCGUGGACUUGUUAAACAAUGAGAUCCGAAAAUCUUGUGGAAGAUGAUGACAUGUUGUGCGAUCAUGCACAACAUGAUCGUCGAGGAUGAGGGUGACGAUGUUACCGCAGCUCUGGAAUUUAGGAACAUGGCUGAUCGUAUCAAACUUCCGGACCAGAAUCCAGCCACAUUUGAGGAGUUUAAUCAAAUGCAUCAACAAAUUCGGCAUCGACCAACUCACGAGCAGGUGAAGGAAAAUCUAAUUGAGCAUUAGUGGGUGGUGAAAGGAGACAACAAUAUUGAGAUGUAAUAUUCGAACCUUUUUAAAUUUGAACUAUUCAAACAUGGGAGGGGCAACUAAUCUUGCUUGAUAAUAUUGAUAUAGAUUUACUAUUUGCAGCGUGUAUAAUCUUUCCAACCUUCUGUGUUAGCAUAAUGUGAUCUUAAUUAUUUCAGUGUGUGGGCCAUAACAUCACAUGUGACUGAACCUGGGAGUCCAAUAGUGGAGUAUACAAUAAUUUGGUAGUAGGGGCCGGCACGGGGAGCCACCACAUUUGGCUACUUGCUGCCGUAUGGCUUCUUUUUCUCGUGGGGAUCCUGAUAAAACCUGACAAGAAAACCAGAGAGGACCCAGCACCAAUAAUCGCACCCAAAAAAUUCCAAAAUUGACCGAUGCUGUCUGGACGGCCAUCACCGACCCACGCCUCACGUUGAGCAUGUUGUAGGACGUAUCGUGUCUGAGGGAAUGGGCCUAUACUAUCCUCUGUGUAGGGCGCAAUAUGCUGUGCAUGCAUGCAUGCAUGCUGUCACCGCAAUAGUGUGGCUCAAGCUGCUUGGCCAUUUGCUGGUGCCCUGCCGGCAGCUUUCAUGUGGCAUGUCUACCCUUUCGGUAGAUUGUGUUGGGAGGAAGUUAAAUAUAGAGCUGAACAUAGUGAUCAUUCUUGGCACUUCCUGUGUUCUCUGAAAAAGGUUUUCCCACUCCCAAUCCCAUGACCAGCACACAUGUAGUCCUUUCCGAUUCAAAGGGUUUUCAUAUGAAUUUUGAAGUAUUAGGAUUCUUAGAAUUUAUUUACAUUGGUCGUUUAAUUCGUAUGGUUGACUCUUACGGGAUUUUCUCCUAAUGAUUCCUUUCUACUACAUUCUAUAGGAAUUUUCGCAUUUACUCAAACCUUUUGAAAAGAUUCCUUUGUUUCUCGUGUGGUGCAAUCAAAUAAACUCAAAAAAUGUACAUCCUCCGUCCCAUUAUAUAAGAGCAUUUUUAACACUCUUAUAUUACGGGACGGAGGAAGUAGCAUUCAAAUGGACAUGACCUUGCAAUCAUACUACGUUUUUUCUGUUCCUACGUUUUUUGAAUUCUGCGAAUCAAAAGGGCCCAUAACUACUACAGUGUCUGAAUAUCCUCUGCCGUUCAAUCAAUCAAAUUAGAUGGACAAGACAUGAUCUACCGUUACACCAGACCAGGCUGAGGCUGGAGGUUGAGGUGUCAAUUCAGCUAGCCAGGCAAGGUUAUCGAUGGCCGAUAGCUGCUUGGAUUCGGCAUGCCCAACAGCGAGGAGGCAAUUCCAAAUCUGUGUCUUUCUAUGUAGUCCAUUUGUAGAUUGGAGGUAUGCUUGGCAGUGUGCGUUAGCAAGCUAGCAGCUUGUACUAGUAGUAUAUUUAAAAUUUGAAGCUGAUUAUGCUCUGUGAUUAGAGUAUGUCAUCACACCGUACGCGGGGCUCGAGACACUGAGGCCAGGCUCAGGAAAGCUUCUUUUAUCAGAGCUGUCGAUCUUGUCUCUUGCUAGCCAAUGAGCUAUCCAGUUUUCUGCUCCAUAAUAAGGACAUGUCAACUAAAAUAGAAUUAAGCCUUGGCUCAAUGGUUGGAUAUGCGGUUGUGCAGCCUAACGACCCGAGUUCAAUUUAUAGAAUUGACAGGUGAUGCACAGGGGUUUUCUCCCGUUUAUUGAGGAUCAGGUUUGGUGUGUGGUGGAAUCACGCAUCAAGAAAUAUCUUGAUACUCAUUUAAAAAAAAUCUGAGGACCAUGUUUAUCUUGGUACUAAAAUGGCCGUAUGCAUCCCUAGUUGGUGCAGAGGCCGGGAAGUGAAAUUCUCUCCUAUUUAAAUAACUUAGCGAGACACAUUCGGGUUGGAGUUUGCGCGUUGCUGUGGACUAUCUGGACUUGCAGAAAUGAUUUGGUUUUUAACAGAAUAUCACGUAUCCAUUUUUUGCAGGUUAUAUUCCAAACAACGGCAUUGAUCCGUUCGUGGUCGCUACUCACUCCGAUGGAGGCCAGAGAGCAUUUGGUUACUGGAUCUUUCCGCUGGGAGAUGAUAGCUCGGGAUAUUUUCAACCGGUUUGGAUGAUGGUCAUGUAAUAGGAUAGGCAGUUAGUUUACCUAUCUAUUUUUAGCCAGCCGGUUGUGGCGUCUUUUCGUGGCUAGGUUGUGUUUCUAGCCUUGUAUGGCUCUGUGUGAGCCUUCUCUGCUUUAUUUUUACUUUUCGAGACCUUGAGACCAUAUUGGCACUGCUUUAUUUGGUUAAUAAGAAGGCCGUAUGCAUCACUCUGAUGCAGAGGCCGGGAAGCCCCCCCUUUUCGAAAAAAAAGAAGAGAAAAGUUGCAACAACAGUGUUUACAUUGCACUAGGCGACUUAGUACUGAUGGUUUCCUCCUUCAAUGAGAUUUCGAUAAUUUCGCUAGACACCAAAAUAGUUACCUUUCGGUCAAAAUAUUUAAGUACUUUCAGUUGUACACAACGGACGUUUCAGUCCCUUGAGCGUAAUGCAAACCAAAAUCAGUGGAAUUCAGUAAUUUCGGUAGGUGCUGACAUAUUUCUGAAAAUCAACAUUAGAACAAAUCAUGAUUAAUUACAUUAGAUAGAUAAGGUCCUGUUGUCAAGAUAAAUUGGGAGAUUCCCAGUUGUCGUUGCUUUCAUAUCCUUGAGUAUGAACGUUGGAAUGGACGCGGACUAACUGCUCGCGGGCUCACAUGUUCUCGGAUAAAAGUAAAAAAAGAAGUAAAACUAAAAAAAAUUGAAGUUUUGUGGCAACAAACAUUGACAAUUUUUCAAAAAAUACUACAUUUUUUGUGAAGGAAAAACAUUCCUAAAUACUUUGGCCAAUAUCGAUGCUUCAAAAAGAAUAUUUGAAAAGCAUUUUCGAGCACUUGCUUUGUAUUUUUUUUGUCUGGAGCAUUGGGGACGUUUUUUCUUCAUGAAAGAAUACACGUAUAUGAAACAUUCAACAAUGAAGUGUAUGCAAAAAAAUAUCAACAAUGUUUACUGCCAAAAAAUCUUUUUUUGGUUUCAUACUAUAUUUUUCCAAUUUACUGUUCACAACAGGUGCAUUUGAGUUCGAGAGAAUAAGGUUACUUUGGCGUUGGAAUUAUUUACUCAAAUGAUAAUCAUGUAGUGAAAGAAGGGGAGCUCCUAUUUUGGCAUGUUAUGCGUGAGGCGGGACGCGCCCUGUUGUUUGCAUUUCGCUCUUUCCUUUUCUGCUUUUGUUUUUUCUUCUUUAAAACAAUUCAGGAUUUCAAUAAAGCUCCAAAUUCCAGAAAAAUGAAUUUUUAAAAAUUGUUCAGGACAUCAUAAAAUGUUAGUGCAUUCAAAAAAAUUUCGUAAUUUUUACAAACAUGUUCGCGUAUUCAACAAAUAUUCAAGAAUUCAAAAAAUGAUCAUUUUUUUAAUGUUCAUAAAAAUCUAAAAAUGAUUGUGAAUUACAAGAAAAAUCAUUGAUUCAGAAAAAUGUUCAUUCAUUUCCAAAAAACGUCAAAGAAACAAUGUUCAUGAGUUAUGAAAAAAAAUCCCAAGUUUCAAACAAUCUUCAUCGAUUUUAAAAAUGUUUGCCUUUUGAAAAAACUAAAAAAAAUAAAAGGAAAGCAAAAAAUAACAUGAAAAAAAAUUAAAAUAAAAACGGAACUGAAAGAAGAAAGGAAAUUAAGAAAAUGAAAAAAGCAUAAAAACUAAAAUAAAAUAAAAAUAAAAAUAGGAAUGGUGCCAGUUGGGCGGGCCCAAAAUGUGCAAGACGCUAACCAGCGACCUGCNNNNNNNNNNNNNNNNNNNNNNNNNNNNNNNNNNNNNNNNNNNNNNNNNNNNNNNNNNNNNNNNNNNNNNNNNNNNNNNNNNNNNNNNNNNNNNNNNNNNNNNNNNNNNNNNNNNNNNNNNNNNNNNNNNNNNNNNNNNNNNNNNNNNNNNNNNNNNNNNNNNNNNNNNNNNNNNNNNNNNNNNNNNNNNNAAAAGUUUUAUUCAUCAAAAACCACAGUUUGUGGGAUACAUGCUGGAUCGUGGGGGUGUAACAGCCACACUUGGCGCCCCUGAGCUAGUCGUAGAGAAUAUUUUGCUAAGCUAUGCGCAUCGUUAUUAGAUCGGCGCCCUUCAUACAGGAUAUUGCUAUUAAACCUCUCCGCCCUCUUCCUAAUUUCUUGAAUGAUCAUACCAUAAGUGCCAUUAGCGUUCUUGUUGAUGUCCUCGACUACCUGCUUAGCGUCACAUGCAAUAAUGAAGUUGUGGAGCGCUAAAAGGAUUCGGCGCCUGUUACGCUCCUUAAUGUGUUAGUCACAAACUGGCGCACACCCUCACCCCGAGCUGGGCUGGCCCGUUUUAGGUCCUUUUUUUCUGUUAUAAAACUGCAAAAUCUGCAAAAACAAAUGCCCCUGGUUAAACCAGGAAUCUGUUGUACUCGAAUACCUGCACUAACCACCUGGCCACAGCGCCAGCUUCUGAUAACUUUUCCCUUUUCUUCUAUUUCUUAUUUCUUUUCUUUUCUUUUUCUUCUUCUUUUCCUUUUCUUUUUCCCCUUUUCUUGUUCUGUUUUAUUUCCUGCUUUCUUCAAUCCUGAACUUUUCUGAAAUCCAUGAACUUUUUACAAAAUCGAUGAACAUUUUUCGGAAAUCAAUGAAUUUCUUUCAAAAUUUUGAACUUUUUUUACAUUAAUGAAAAUUUCCAAAUUAGAUGAACUUUUUUCCCCAAAUUGAUAUUAGUUUUUCGAAUUUGUGAACUUUUAAAAAAACAAAACUUUGUUCAAAAUUGAUGACCUUUUUUUUUCAAAUUUGUCAUGUUUAUUGUAGAAAUCAAUGAUUUUUUUGAACUUUCCCAAUAUUGAUGAACUUUUUUCAAAAUCUAUGAACAUUUAUAUUUUUUGUGAAAUUUUCUUCAAAGUCAACAAACUUUUGUCAAAACCGAUGAACUCUUCUCAAAUUUGUGAACUUUUCUGUUCAAAUUGAUGAUUUCUUAAACACGGGAAAUUUUCUCAAAAAUGUAUUUAAAAGAUUAAAGGUCAAUGGAACGACCAAACUAGCUUUUUUUAGUGAACGAAUGAUUGAGCGAAACGCGCUCUCAUGUGAAUGUGCCGGCCCAAGAAACCAGACACGUCAGCGCCUUGCACCCAGUGGUGAAGGCGUUGUAUAGGAGGUCCAAUAUGCUCAGGCCAAUUCGGCUCGUUUUUCAUGUAUGCCUUUUUUUUUGGGAGCAACUAGUUAACGGCGCUUUUUUGGGAGCCUCGCAAUGAUCAGCGUCACUUGGCGUGCUCUCAGCCAUUCGUCACGUGUCGCGCUCUGGAUGCUCUCUCUGGAUUUUUAUUUUAUUUUUUCACACGCGUUUUCGGCUUUUUAAACGGUUUUUCUGAAGGUUUUCGACGUUUUGGUUUUCUCCCGGUCUUCCUUAGCUUUUCGAUCAAAAAAAUUCAAAAAAAUAAUUUUUCACACGAAAAAACGCGUUUUCUUGUUUUUCGCGAAAGACACGGUUUUUCCCGCGAGAGACACAGUUGUGCUUUAACGAGAGUCAAGACUGUGCCUUUCGGAAACGGAAAAAACGCAUUUUCUGUUUUUUUUCACGGGUCAUGGUUUUGCUUCCACGAGAGGCUCGGUUGUGCUUUCGCGAGAGUCACGGCCGUGCCUCUCGGAAAGGGAAAAACAAAACACGUUUUUUGGUUUUUUUUUUCACGAGAGCCACGGUUUUGCUUCCGUGAGGGGCACGGUUGUGCUUUCGCGAGAGUCAUGGCCAUGCCUCUCAGAAAGGGAAAAAAUACGCGUUUUCUAUUUUUUUUUAUUUCGUGAGAGUCACGGUUUUGCUUCUGCAAGAGGCACGGUUGUGCUUUCGCGAGAGUUACAGCCGUGCCUCUCGAAAACGAAAAAAACGCGUUUUCUAUUUUUUUUCACGAGUCACGGUUUUGCUUUCACGAGACGAACGGGUGUGAUUUCGCAAGAGGCAUGGACGUGCAUUUUUCGGAAAGGGAAAAAAUCAUGCUCCCGGUUCGGUUUUUUCAUCUGGUUUUUUUCGUAAAAAAAUUCGUCAAGAUCUAUCAACAUGUGAUCUAGUUUUGAAGAUCUCGACGUGAGGAAUCCAAUGAUGAACACGGUUCGAGAUUUGGACGCACGGUUUAAAAGAUAAAACGUUUUGAAUAAACGGAUCUAAAAAAAGGAAAAACUCCCUGGUUGUGACAAGUGGCGCGCUGCAUGUGCGCCACUUGUCACGACCUGGUAAAGUGGAACGUUCUUUGGAAUGAGUACUUCUUAAUUAGUGAUUUUGCUUUUUUUUAACAUUGUAUGCCUUGUUCCAGCGGUAGAGGGAGCCCGUCGGCGUUUCGACAGUACAAACCGACGUCCCAUGAGUAUGUAUACCAGACUCAUUGACGAGUUAUUCUUCGAAAUUGAUAAUUAAGAAGCACUCUUUGCAAAAGUCACUCACUUUUUUAGAUUGUAACAAGUGGCGCACAAGCAACAUGUGAGUUUUUUUCUUUCUUUCGUAGAGCAAUUUAUUCAAAAUGUUUUAUCUCUUAAGUCAUGCAUCCAAAUCUCGAACCGUUUCAACCCAUUCCUCAUGUCGAGAUCUUCAAUACUAGAUUUCAUUUUGAUAGGUUUUGACAAAUUUUCUUUUCAUGAAAAAAUUGAAUCGGGAGGAUAUUUUUUUCUUUCGGAAAGCAAAUCCGUGUCUCCACGAAAAGUAAACUCGUGCCUCUCGUGAAAGAAAAAAACAUUUUUUCCCAUAUCUGAUAGUCACGACCGUGCCUUUUGUAGAAGCAAACCAAUGCCUUCAUGAGAAGUAAACUCAUGCCUCUCGCGGAAGGGAAAUUUUUUUUUUUUCGUUUUUGAGAGGCACGGUCAUGCCUCCCGUGGAGGCAAAUAUGUGCCUCUCGUGGACGGAAAGAAACCUGUAUUUUUUUAAGAGACACGGUUGUACAUCUCGCGGAAGCAAAUUCGUGCCUGUUGCGAAAGCAUAAAAAUAAAAACACAUUUUUUUCGUUUCUGAGAGGCAUGGUUGUGCCUUCCGUGGAGGCAAAUAUGUGCCUCUCGCGGACGGAAAGAAAGGUGUUUUCUUCGUUUUUAAGAGACACGGCCAUGCAUGCUGCGGAAGAAAAAAUGAAAACAUAUUUUUCAUUAAAAAAUUUAAAUAUUUUUUGUUCAGAAGCUACGAAAGACUGGUGAAAAGCUAAAAAAAUAUCUAAAUAGUCAAAAACACAUGCGAUAAAAAUAAAAAUCAAAGAAAACAUUCAAAGCAUGAGACGUGAUGGCGGCUAAGGGCGCGUCACAUGACGCCUUCUCAGCCCACCCAAACGAUUUUUAGGAAGCUUGUGAAGAAACACUCGUCAAUUAGUUGUUCUUGCUCAAAAAAACAAAGAAAAAUGAUAUCAGUGCGUCAUUGACCUAUCGACGAGACAGCAUGAUUGUGAGAGACACGGAGAUGACAUAUGCGACAGCAUUCUUCCGGGUCACCGCUUCUCUCGGCUCAGCCACACACGUGCUACCACUAUAGGGCACCGCCGACUUAGGCCAACUCCAGCGUGUAACCCUAAACGAAUGUCUGUUUUAUUUUGUUUUUGUCUUUCUGGUAGGGAUUUGGGAUCGUUUCCGGGCCUGUCGUGAGAUGCGGUGGCCGUGCGCCCACCACGCGGACGCAUCCUUUUGCCCCAUUCUGUUCGUAUCUAUUUUAAAAAAAGAGACGUUUCAAAUGCCAAGCCCCAGUUCACGAUCCCAGUUUAUCACGCCGGCAACAAAGCCAGCGGCCUACACGACCAUCGCCGGCAACACAGCCAGCCUCCAAAAUAAAUACUUGUCCUCGCCGGCAACACAGCUAGCGGCCGGCAACACAGCCGGCCUCCAAAGUGAAUGUUUUUUCGCCGGCACACUGUCAGCGACCCAGCGGGCGGGCGGCACCCAUGCAAGCCUCCAAAAAGAACGGCCACGCCGAUCGGACAACCUAAUUCAGGCCUUCGGCGUCGAGCAUCUCCUUCUGCUUGGCCUCAAACCAGGUCCUCGUCUUGUCGCUCAUCUUCAACAAGUCCACGCUCAUGAUCGCAAGGGCCACCUCCUUCGCUUUGGUGGCGGCAUUGGUGGCCUCAAUGUCGAGCUGCCUCUGCCUGGCCUUGACGUCGUCGGCCUCGAUGUCGAGCUGCCUUUGCCGGGCGGCCUCUUCCAUGUCGAGCUGCCUUUGCCGGGCCGCCUCCUCCAUGUCUAUCUUCCUUUUUUUGGCCGCCUCCUCCAUCUCAAGCUUCUGUCUUUGGAGGUCUAGGUAUUGCUUCAUUUGCUCGUCCUUGCUUUGUUGCUUCUUCUCGUCCCUCACAUCCUUAUGUGACAUCAUGCCAUGCAAAGUCUCAUGCAAGGCCAUGGUUGAGGCGUCACGUAUGUCGUCAACCUUGGAGUUGGUCUUGCCCCUCGGCCUCUUCAACGCCUCGCCAUCCCCACCUCCGGCGAACUUGGUCGUUUUCUUGCCAAUCUUCCUUUGAAGUUCACGGUAUUGAUUCUUGAACUUAGGGCAAUUGUUGAUGAGCGUCCAACAAUGCGUAAGAGUGAAUGGCUUGUCAUUGUGUCGGGCCUUGAAUGCCUCCAAAGAUUGAAAUGUCUACACCACAUGAUCAACAAUAAGUGAACAUGCAAACAUAUACACGGACGAAGUAUCAUGGCCGUAGCAAGGAAAGGGCUAGAAAGAGAAGAGCAUACCAUGUCCCCAACGCCGAGACCACUCACGGGCCGUGCUUCAACGCUCUCAAAUGCGGCACAAUACUUGUUGCACUCUUGUUGGAUGAACAACCAUCUUUUUUGAAUCGAACCAAUGUCACGGUUGCUUGUAAUUUGGUAGGGCUCAAACAUCUUCCUUUCAUGGAAUGUUUUGUGGACUCUCGUCCAAAAAAUAAUGCCCUUUUGUUGCGCACCGGUCCUUGGAUUUUGGCUAAUCUUCAUCCAACAUUGACAAAUCAACUUGUCCUCAUCUUGUGUAUAUGAACCGGUGCGAAUGCUCUUCCGCUUCUUUUGUGCUUCCGCUCUUUGGGUGAGCUCGUCUAUGAACAAUGGAGCGCCACUAAUAUCAACAUCAUUGGCUUCAUCUUCAUCUUCAUCUUCACCUUCGACAUAGAUGUCGUCAUCUUCAUGCCACGAAUCACCAUGGUCGUAGUCAGCACGGUCGUCGGCCUCCUCAUCAGGCACGUACUGGGCGCGGCCAUCCUGACUUUGGGUCUCCUCAGGGUCGUAGGCACGGCCAUGCCCACCCUGGAAGAUCACGUCCUCCAUGUACUGGUUGUAGAAGGGGUCGUCCACCGUCGGCAUUGAGGUUGGCAUUCCGUCAAAUAACACGCGGGGGGCCGGCAUGGUGCCCGUGAACGGUGCACGCGCCUGCUUUCUUUGCAUCUCGACGGACGGCCGCCCGCCGCUGCUGGACCCAGGCGUGACGUUGAGGUCGAUGACGGCCGCGGGGCGUGGUGUGGACGGCGCGAACAAGCCCACGUCCGGCGACGCCGAGAAACGGGUCUGGCCGUCGUGCCUGGGCGGAGGAAAGCCGGGCGACAUGGGCGCGACGCGCGACGUCGGCGACUGGCAGUGCGUAGGCCGGACGACCGACGAGCCUGUGCUCGCCGGGACGACGGCCGCUGCAUGGAACCCCGCCGGACGGCCCAUGCCAAGCAUGAGGAUGGCGUGCGCUUUGUUGACGAGGUCCUCCUUCUCGUCGGCAGCGGCCUUGCGCCGCGCGGCCUCCAGCUCCUCGCGCUGGGCGGCGAACUUGGCCGCGGCGGCAUUGAUCUUGACGGCCGCUCUAUGUUCCCUCCUCUUCACCGAUUUCGCGUCCAACUUGGCGGUCUCCUCCGGCGUGCACUCCGACCGCGGCUUCCUUGGCGCCUUCUUCUUCAUCUUUGCGGUCGGGUCGACGGCCAGGCCGCCGAAACUCGGCGGAGCGUCGGCCAUGGACGGAGGAGAGAGGGGGCGGCGGGAGGGACGUGGGAGGGUUUGGGAGAAAUGGCGCCAAAUGGGCGUUGGAGGGAAGGUUUGGUUUCUUCCACCGACAGGCGGGCCAGGGGAGGACAAGCGCGCGCGUCCCGCCCGUCCGCGCGCUGUCCGUUUCACCCCAAAACCGGCGCAACUUUGGGCCAGAAAUGGGUCGAAAGCGGACAAAAAUCGGACAAAAAUCCGUUUGCGCCCGCGCACUGGGCCGUCUCGUUUGUCCCUUUUACCCCAAACGAACGGGGGCGGACAGGAUAGAGUCGCGCGAUGAAGUUGGCCUUAGCUUGUCAUUGGCAGAAACUCCAGAAAAACCGACGGAACCUGGACGACGAAGGGUCACAUCCAUCGGGAACUGGCGGGCCGCCCGGACCUCGGCUCGUCAAGUGCCGGCCGGGCAUGAGCCGAGACAAGGCCUGGCUAGCCAGCUAGACGGGCUGGUCGAGCAGUGCGCGGAGCAGCACCGGCAGCGGGACGCGGUAGGCUGGCCGAGCACGCAGCACCGACGGUGAUCCGACUGGGAUUACUGGAUCGUGUGGAAAGAUCGUGUCGGCCCCGGCCUAUGCUCUGUGGAGCACACAGAGUUUUUGCGGAAAGCCAAGCAAAAGGAGAGGCGGGCGCCCCCACGACCGGUGCUCGCACCGUUGCGCGAAUGCCGGGCGCUGCACGGAUGUCCCCGGCCCGUUGCGCCACCCUACCACAGCACGCGGCACCGUCGGUGGCGGGCUGGCGGCGAGUGCUCUCUGGCCUGGACGACGCUGGUGCACCGCGAAUGCUUCUGCACUUGUCUCCAUCGGGCUCGCUGACCGGUCUCUUCUCUGCUGCUUUGGUUGCUCCUAUCCUACUACGUGCGCUACCCCUUUUCAUCAAGCUUCACCAACCGAUGGACGGAGCUUAAAGCUAGUGCCGGCAACGCGUCCUGCACACAUGCAUGCGCUGCCCAAUUCCGUUCCCACGAUGCGCCGCCCCGGCACAGCUAACUGACGACUCCACUCCCACUACCGAACUCGGCCACCCACAAGGAAUUUCUUUUUUUUGAAACGGACCCAGAAAGAAUUUCAAGGACAGUAUUCAGUGCUUUUUGGGUGGAUCCAGGUCAACCGCUUCCGCCCAUGCAACGUGCGGUCGGCCGUGCCCGUGCGUGCCCGGUGCAUUGCAUCACUGUACGUGACGAGACCCAGACCGAGACAGAGCCGGUGUCGUUCGAUUUGUGUGUGUGUGUGUGUGUGUUGUAAGUACGUCGAAAUAUCGGAUGAGCAACAAUUUUUUAGAUAAUCGGAAGAGCAGCGGGUUUUUUUCCGGAACGAAAACAGUAAGGCCCAUACGUGUGGGCGUCUGGCAACUCACUCACACGCAUGAAUCCUCGUCCAACCAAUUUUGCACGAAUCUUGGCGCGUUCUAUCAUUUUUUGUAUGCCACGUAGGACUAAACUGAUGUGUGGGCAUUCAUCCGGUCGCCCACACGUCCUUUUUCACCACAUGGGGGGCUGGUGUGUGGGCGUUUAACAAUUCGCCCACACACCAGUUUUGACGCACGCAGAGGAGGCUAGUGUGUGGGUGUUUAUCACUUCGCCCACACGUCCGUCUCCUCGCCCACACCCAAAGCUGGCAGUUGACAUGUGUUUCUGCAGGGUACAUGGCAACUGCCCUAGCUUUGCUUGUAAGCAGAUGGCAACUCUCUUUUACCCGAGUUGUCAUGUGUUUUUGCAUGAUACAUGGCAACUGCCUUAGCGUGCAUGUAAGCAGAUGGUCCUCUUUCUCUUCAUAUGGCAACUGCCCUAGUGUGCUUGUGAGCACACGGCAACUCCCUCUUUUACCCGAACAUAUUCUUUUGCCAUGCCUUUUUGUAGUGCUACACGCCAACCGCCUAGUGUUAGUGGGUAGCAACUCCUAAAGUUUUGAAAUCAUGGCAAUUGCAGUAGACCAGACCGUACAUGGCAACUGCAGUUGAGCAACCAUGGCAAAUGUAGUUGUCCGACAUGGCAACUGAAGUUCAGCGACAUGGCAACUACAGUUAAACGAACAUGGACGAGGGUCUGGAUCAUGGCAACUGCCGGACGCACGCUGACUGUCACGCGGGGCGUGCGAGACCACAAGGUACGAGGCCUGACGUACAGGGCGUGUGGAUGUUAUUUAUUUCGCCCACACGCACGCAUGUGAGAGAGAUCGGGAGGGAAAAAAAGAGGUGUGUGGGCAUUACUUGUUUUGCCCACACGUAGGUGUGUGGGCUGUUCCUCUUAUACACCACACAAAUAUGUGGCUAGACCCCCUAACACCCACACGUGUGGCACUUAUCGGCGUCCUUUCCGAAAAUACUAACGCUUACACGUGUGGCAGUUUUGCAACUCGUCCACACGCGUGGAUCCCCGUCUAGUCGAGUUUGCAUCAAUCUUAACACAUUGAGGCGGAUUUUGAGUGCCACAUAGGACGGGAUUAGUGUGUGGGCGUUGGAGAGUUCGCCCACACGCCCCGCAUCAAGCGGUUUGCCAGCUGCACUGUGUGGGCAAACUGUUUUUCGCCCACACGACACCAUUACGUUGUUGGAUGGCAACUGUAGUUGCGCAUAAAUGACAGCUAGGUAAACACACAUGGCAACUGUGAUUCGUUGCUAGACGGCAACUAGACGGCAACUGCAGUUGCGCGUACGUGGCAACCAGGAUAAACACAGAUGGAAAUUGUGAUUAAUCAUACAUGGCAACUAUGAUUAUGGUGGUGUUUGGUUCUCUAGUCCUAGGACUUUUUCUAGUCCCAAUUAAAAAGUCCCUAGUCCCUAAAAAGUCUCUCCCUGUUUGUUUCCAGAGACUAAAAAGUCCCUAGUCCCUUGCUAGAGAUUAUUAAAUGACCAUGCUGCCCCUAGUAUAUAGAAAAAUAACAAUCAAACAACACCAUGGGGUGGCGGGCCAAUGGAUGCAUGGAGGGGCAUUGUUGGAAAAGUCCCAAAAAGUCCCAAAAAGACUUUCCUUGAUAGUCUUCUUCAUUUAGUCCCAAAUGCCUAGUUUAGUCCCUAAAAAGUCCCUCUUGUUUGGUAAAAAAGUCUCUAAGAGAGACUUUUUCUAGUCCCUAUACAAAAAAGUCCCUGUAAACAAACACCCCCUAUACCACAUGUGACAGUUAGGUAAACACACAUGUCAACUACUGUUUGACCCUAUGUGGCAAGUAGUCAAUCACACACAACAAUUAUGAUUUGAUUACACGCGGCAAUUAUCAUAAAUUAGACAUGCCAACUAUAGUUAACCAAAACAGAUAAAGCUGCCAUAUUUUGCGGCGGGAGUAAAAAUUAUGCAAUUGAAAACUUCUUUUGAAUACGAAUUCACUGAUAUAAAUUUUGCUCCCGCCGCAAUCGGUCUUGAUAGUUAAAUUUACGGUCAAAGUUGAAGCACGGGGAUAGAGAAAACAGUACAUUGUGGAAUGGAGGGAGUACAAUCUUUCUGACCAGCGCAGUUUGCCCCUAAAAAAAAGGUAGUCUGGCGAUUGCAGAUUCGCACUUACUACUCCUGUAUAGUAUUUAGAAGUACUCCAAUCGCUUAAAGAAGUACGAGCACGUGCAGUAAGUUCUAUGACCACAUUUUGAUCUUCGGCGACGCCAUAAAAGUUGACCGGACGACCUGAACGCCCCCGGUGAGCCAAUCCUACGUACGUACGCCCCUUAAUUCACGAUUUACAAGCAGAAAUGGACACCCGGCCUGCGUGGCCGCGUAAUUGUGAUGAUCUGCUAAAAGAUUAUUUUUCUGACCAGCGCAGUUUGUCCCUAGCUGUAACAACGAAGCCUGGCGAUCGCAGAUUCGCACUUACUCCGGUAUAUUUUUAGUACUACCACUCUCAUUUAUACAUGCGGCGAGGCGAUGAUAUGAAAGUUGACCGGCCGACCCGGAGGUCCCACAUUACACCGCUUAACUGACGAUUUACAAACAGAAGCGGACACCCGGCUGGCCAGGUCAUGAACACGGUCCUAGCUAGCUGGUUAUAUUGAAUGUAGUACGUGGAGAAACGAAGUUAUAUAUAGGAGUGCAUGUGUACGUGGAGAAACCAGGCAUUUAGCUUCGCUGAAAGGUCCUUCUUUAGGGGCCCAAGGCCGCCAAAAAAUGAGUAGCGCUAGCGUAAUGCAUGGGACUGCCAACGGCACAACUAUGAUGCUAAGUGGUGUAUACGUACGGUGAUCAUACAACUAAUUCUAGCUUGUGCGCAUGCAUGGGUCCUCGAGGUUGUCAAAAAGGAUAACAUGGUGUGGCCCGUCGUCGCAUUGUUCUUUCAUUAACAGUUUUUUUUUUUUUGAGGGAAGUUCUUUCAUUAACAGUUGAGACAAUACCUUGUUAUGAGAACCGAAAAGAAGCUGGAAUUCCGUAUGUCGACACGUUUCGUGUGGGUUAUCUAAUCGUAUCCGCAUUGCCAAAGCUCAACAGUGCGGCGCAUGACAAUGACAAUGCAAGUGAAGUGAUUUGGCUGGAGUCAACGAGCCCAAGCCGGGGGCAUGAUCUCCACCGCCGCGCGUGCUGGAUUAGGCUACAUGCAUGGCUGACCUAUCUUAGUCUUAGCUAGUAGCUCAACUCCGCUACUGUAGCGUCAUGUCAUGGGCGGCUAGUAGUAGUAGUACGUAGUACGUACCAGUCUACAGUCUAGUUGUACACAACGAUAGAUGGGGCAAGCAGAGGCUGGCUAAGCUAGCCACCCCGAUUAACAUUGGUCGCCUUGGCCGAAAGGCCGAUCUAUACAAGGACGUGCUGGAGUGUGUCCCACUCUGCAUUCGAGUGGAGGCCCUAGAUCGAGUACGCACUACACAAUAACACGACCGGUCGACCGCACAGUAUCGUAGCGUACGUACGUAUGUGCAUGUCGUUAGCCUGCGUAGGCAGACUAGCUGGUAGGACCGGCCGGCCAGGACCAGGACCAGAUACCGAUACUACGCUGCAGGCCAAGCCAGGGAGGGCGCCAUAAUAAAGGCCCAACCUGGGCGGAGGUGGUUGGGGUUCGGCCGGAGACCCGCCGUCCGUCGCUGUUCUCCUCCAUCGAUCUCUCUCGCGUGGCACGUAGCAGCAGGCGGCAGAAGCAGCCCGGAGGAGGAGGAGGAGGUGGGGGGAGGGGAAGAAGGGCGGCCUCGCGCGUCUGUCUCUGAUGCGUUUCUUCCUCUACCCUGUCUCUCUAAACGCAUGCAACCCUUCUCCCCCCGGCCCCGGCUUGCUUGUCUCCAUCAUGGAACCAAGCUGCCCCAAACCAGCGGCAGUCACUGCUAAUUUUCUCUCUCUCCGUUUCUCGACGUUUUUCCUGCAGCUCUACGCUACGUUUGCAGUACUACUACAUGCUUGUAGCAGAAGCGAAAAUGACCGGGUGGCCGGCCGGGGUGGCCAUAGAACUUUGUCCCUCCGGCUCCGGGUGCGUCUCUCUCCAUUUAUGAAGCAUGAUGGUCGUAUAUUUAUUGGCACCCAAAAGGCCGAGAAGUGGCAUGGGGCGUGUGGCAACAAUCCGCAGGGACUUUGGAAAGCUCGUUUUGACCGUGCCCCCGCUCCACUCCACUCCACUCCGCCCGGACCAUACCUGUACUGUACAGCCACUAUACUGUACGCGGUACCACGUACUGACCGAAACAAAAAGGCACAGUCACGUAUACCACCUCGAUCGACGUACAUACGACCGUCCAGCCAGCGACACUGCAGCACACAACAGGGGUAAAAUUUACGACCUGGCCUAGUACAAAAUGUACCACUGGUUCAUACUACCACACAUGGCCCGGGUUUCAUUUUCCUCGGCAUGCACGGCACUGCAUUUUAUGGGCGUGCGGUGCAGUGCAGAUAAUUGCUUCAUUAGCUUGAUUGGGUCUUGGGAGCGUACAUGCAUGCACGUAACGGGGGGAAAUCAUUCUGCUCGCCGUAAUAAUGUCGCGCGUUUACGCCUCCGCAUAAUCCUUGGAGAGAGAGAGACUAGACGAGUGUGCAUCAGGGUGGUGGAGGAUGAGCGUGAGGCCCCCCGCUCACCAAACUUCCCAUUUCGUCCCCAACUUUUCGUUCCAUCCAUCUGAUCUGCGAUGAGAUGAGAAAAGCGUGGCGGCCUUUGUGCUGUGCGGGCGUUUCCCUCUCUCUCACUCACUCGCUAUAGUAGUAGUAGUAGACAGCUGAGCUGGGGUGAGCUGAGGCAGCGGCAGGGAGGAGGAAGCAGCGAAUUGAAGAUCCUUAAAUGCGGUUUGGUGGCAUCCCCGCGCGCGCUGGCCCCCAUGCAGACGCCUGCCCUGGACGCAUGGGUGCAACAUGCCACCACCAUUGCCAUUGCCAUUGCCAUUGACACCCCCCACCUACAUAAAUCCCCUCCCGCUGGCCUCGCCCCCGGCUUUUACCGCUCUUUGACUCCACUCCACCCCCCACCCAGCCGCCCGGCCACCCAGCUCCUCCUCCUCCUCCUCCUCCGCUCCCACGCGCCAGCCGAACACACGCUUGUUAGCUAAGCUCGCAGCGCCGCGCCGGCCGUGGAUCGAUCGGCCGCGCCGUAUGGGGAGGCAGCGGCGGUGGUCGCGCGCGGCGCUCCUCGCGUGCCUGGUGCUCCUCGCCGCCGCCGCGUGCGCCGACUCGGCGCGCCCGGGGCCGCUGGCGGCAGCGGCGACCGAAGGGCUGCCUGCCGGCGCGAGCGUGAGCGCCAGCGGCAACGAAGACGGCGGCGACGGCCCGCGGAGGAGCGCGUUCGACGCGCUGGUGGAGGGCCUCGUGAGCAUCGGGCUGGGGCGGCGGUGGCGCGCCGGCGACGGCGCCGGGCUGGUGGACGGCGACAAGCGGCGCGUGCCGACGGGGCCCAACCCGCUGCACAACAGAUGAGUACGCACGUACGUACUACAGCGGUAGCUAGCUGAUCGCCCGUUAGCUUUCGGACCUCGCUGGCGCCAUUGCCGGGCGCGUGCGGGGCGGCGAGCAGAGGAGGAGAAGAACGGGAAGGAGAAGAGAGGAUAGGAGCUUCUAGUAUGGCUGUUCCCUUCUGCUUCCCUUUCUUCUUUUUCCCCCUGAUUUUCCUUCUUCUUCUUCUUCUUCUUCUUCUUCUUCUUCUUCUUCUUCUUCUUCUUCUUCUUCUUCUUCUUCUUCUUUCCUAGUAAGGAGUGCUAGCUACCUUUUUGUUGCUUGUCUUUUGCCCUUAUUUUCUUGUGUCCUCGAUUGGUUUGUGAAGUGGACAGCAACGCCAUUCUGUUGGUUGAAAGAGAUACAUAUAUGAGUAUACUACUUCUUUUGUUUGCUUGCUCCACCAACCUGUUCAUAUAUAUUGACACCAUAUUCUCGCAUGAUCUUGCCUCAGAUCACACACACCAAAACUUCACCUUACAUUGGUUUCCCUUGUUAUUAUUCUGCCAAAGGGCUGUAAAUUUUUACAAAGCAUCGAGUUUCCUUAUUGUUCUGUCAAACGUGUCCGAAGAAAAGGGAUUGCAUGAGUACGAAAUGGAUGUGGAUUGAAGAAUACGGCAUCGGGCCAGAAAGGAAGGGAAUGGAUUGCAGGGAGCCUUCUCGAGGAAGAUACUAGGAGAAAGUAGUCCACAAAAGGCUGGGAUGUGAUGAACACGUAUUUUUGGUUCAAACAUGAAUGAUGAACGCAUCGAUCGAUCGACCACCUCCAUUGGCGAGCGCACUUUGAGCCUUCGCUUUCGGAGAACUAUCAUUUUUUUUUGCCUGUGAUGGUUCUUUUUCUGAUUACCCCGUGUUCGCUCUCAUUUCUUCAGUACAAUUCCUUGGCUAUAAAUAUAUAUAUUUAUAUCCAUUUUCGAUUUAUUUUUUUGUAAAACUUACGAGAGCCGACCACCUCAAGUCGUUUGGGGUUCUCAUGCUUCCUGCAGGGGUUACAGGAUGAUUAAUCCCAACGAACCCGGAGCUCUGCAGCAAAUCGGCGAAAACACAGAGCUUGCUUGGCCUGGCCAGAGUUAACUUAGCAAGUGAUGCGAUUCUCUAAGUAUCCCAUAAGCGUCUUAACGCGAUUUGACGGUUGACAACGAGGAUUCCGUGCGUGCGAUUGCCUCCCCGAUCGCCCACACAAAUCCAGUCCUCACCCAUCAACCCAUCGGCUCUUGUCAGCGUCGACAGGGACGAUCCACCGCAGGCCUCUGCCCAGCCGUCGCCGUUGCGGGGCUUAUUUGGCUUAGCUUAAUUAAUUAUUAGUGUGAUGGAGCGGCUGGCGCCGUGGUCGUUUCGUGUCCUCGCAAGCUCGCAACUGUUUGCCGACGACGUCCGUCCCUUGCCUACAGUGCCCGGUGGCCCGGCCGGCUCGCUGCUGCUGUUGGCGACGCGGUCCCGUUAAGCUUCCCCACGUAGCAACUAGCAACGCAGCUGCGUGGACGUCGGUGGCUGGGUGUCGCUGUCUGUCGUCCAGCUGCGUGCGCAGCCUACGCGCGGGCACGGUACGCAUGUCGAGGUAGAGUAAGACUCGUUGACAAUUUCGUACGCACGCAUCUUCGCCAUGGGACUGCGGACUGGUCUGGAUGUCCAUUUUUCUACGGUCCGAACGCAUAUCAGAUGGGCCUCUGGGGACAUCCGGACCGCCGUCAUGUACGUGUCCGUCACUUUGGUCCCACCCAAAGGCCUUCCCCGUUCAAAACCCUUCUUCGCGCGAAGCAGUUGCCGCGUAUUCAUAUCAGUCGGCGCCGUGGCAGAGCGGACGUGACUCCAUGGUAUUGAUGCUGGUCAGAGCGGCACGACUGGAUGAGCGGACGGCACCCCUUCAAUGUCGACACGACGACUGAGAAGCCUACUCCGACGGCUGCGCUACGCGUCUUGGCCCACUGCCGCCGCUCUUAGGAGCCCUCGACCUCUACAGCCAUCGGCUCCUUUGAGGAGGAGAUUACCAUCUCCUCUAGCAAUGAGGGGGACCAGCAGGCACACCUCCUCACCGAGCCGACCAUGAUGGACGAGUAGUUCCAACAACAAAUCAAUCUCAUGAUCGGGCAGUCGAUGUGCUCCCAUAGCCCGCCGCCGCCCUUGCUGCCACCGGCACGCUUGAAGGAGGAGUUGGCGUCGCCUCCGCGAUAUUGCAUGAAGAAGGAGCCGACGUCACAGCCUCUAAGCCGUGUGAACGUAGAGUUGCUGCCCCCCUCCCCCCCAUAGCCGGUAUGCCCGCAUCGACCAUACGACGUUGUUGUCGUGUCGUGACUAGUGCGGCAAGGCCAUGAAUGACGAGGUGUCGUCGGUGAUCGCGAAGACGCGCGGGUGCUUGCUCCACUAUCUCUGUAGCCGUGGCGGUGGCUCCUCUUCGUCGUGGAGCAUCGUCAUGCCAGAGGAGAGAACAACCCGGCAAACAGCGCAAUGCAACGGGGCGCUCGGCGUUCGGCGUUCUCAAAGUCCAACGAGGCGUCGGUCUGGGUCCACGAGGACCCCGACCUCAUGGAGGCCUUGGCCCGCAAGCGGUCAAUGACCACCGCGGAGAUGGUCGCGCCGUGGCUAAACCGCAGCGAUGUGGAGCUCACCAAGAUCGACGAUGACAUGAUUGUCGUGCCACGUGCCCUUCCGCGAGUGGUAGGACAACCCAGACGGCGGCGGCAUGGAAGGCGAUGGCGGUGCCACUGGCCAGGCCGACCACGCGUAUGAGGUCACUGUCCGCCACAAGCUAACUUAGGUUUUUUUUAGUUGAACAGAUGAAAUAUGGUAUGUGUUAUGUAAAUUAUGUAUUAUGCCGUGUUUGCAGGACAAGCAUCUAAUCAUCUACUUUGUCCAAAUUUGCUUUGCAGGACAAGCAUCUAAUCAUCUACUUUGUCCAAAUUUAUUUUGAAUGUAUGCGGGUACGGUUGGAUGGCCGACUCUUGUGCGUCCAUGGACAAAUACUGUGCCCAUUUUAAGGGUCUGCGUUGGAGAUUCCCUUAGAGCACCUACAUCCGAAGUUGGCAAAUUCGGCGCAAUAAAUGUCCACGGACCCGCCCAGACGCAUCCGCGAACAACACCGAGCGACCCUUCAUAUGGGUUGUCGGGCAGCGACACACCUCAAAUUCAACCCUCGAGUCCCAUGGAAUCCAUGCACACGUAUCAGGUAGCACAAAUUCAUCAAAAUUCAGAUCAGGUAGCACAAAUUCAUCAAAGUUCAACAGUUUAACAAUACAACAAAGCAAACUAAAUCAUAGUUCGACAAUCCGGACAUGUCAAAAUGAAAUCCAAGCCCGAGCAAGAAGGAUCACUUAUCGGACGUCAUUCGUGCCGCCUACUCUGCCACGACCAUCCUUGCCGCAUGCUUUGGCUCCAUCCGUGCCGCCUUCUCCGCUGCAGCCAUCGCUACUCUCGCCGCCUCGUACUCCCUCCGUUCAUUGAUCUCAUUCUUCUUCCCGACGAGCCAUAUCAUUGCUUGUUGUGUCAUUCCAUCGAACAGGACAUGGGAAGACCGAACGCUCCCACUACCCGUGCUUGUCUAUGCCCGUCGGAGUUGCAACGAGUCACACACAUAGCCUCCGCUGUUUGUGUUGCCGGAAAAUGGUACAGAAUGGCCCAACCAGUCGUAAGAUCAUCCUCGAUGGUGGGAGGGUCGGAUGAUGCCUUCCUUGCCGGGAACUGAAUGGACGGGGUUCGAGGGGGCGGGCGCGGAGGAGGAGACACAUCCACCUCAAGGUCCACAACUACAGCUCCCUGCGAUGUUGCUUCCCUUUCGCGCUGCCUUCUCCGUCGGUCCUUCUGGCGACAUUCUUCGGCUUGCAGGGUGGAGCCAAGGACCGGAGCCCCACGGACGACGCCAAGGCAACAUCUGUGAUGGCGGUAGGCGAUGGGGUGGACGACAUCUAGGGCGCGGAUAUGGGCCGGUGGUGCGUAUGGGGGAGAAAGGGUGGACGACAGUAACGGAGCCCAAGUAUACAUGAUCUUACGUGCUCUAAUAUCGGAACGGGGAGCUCCACAGCCAUACUAUUAGGCUCCAACGGCAACCCAUAAAUUUUCUCCUGCAUUCGUCCGCGAACAGGGGGGCCCAGUCCGCGGACAUGGAUGCGGGAGCAUGCCAUCCAACCGUAAUUGCAUACAUUUUAAACUCUUUUUCAACAAACCGGAUGAAUUCCGUGCAAACAAGACCGGAUUUCAUAACAACUGGACGAAAAUGGUUGCAUUUUGGACAUAUUUUCAACUGAAAAGCUAAAACUAUGUGCAGUUACGGUCACGCGGAGCUCCACUCUCACGACACGGAUACACUACACUAGUCUACGUCAAGCAACGGCUUGUCCUUCCCCAUGUCCGGCAGCCUGCUAACCGGACUGCCGGGAGCCCUGGAGCCGUAAAUUUCGAGCACUAUCAUUUUCUUUAUUCUUUUUUGGAUUGCCCAUUCUUAACCAUCAUUUUCUUUCAGUACAAUUCCUGGCCACAUUAUCUUUCAUAAACAGAGCAUCAAGAACUUAGUGGGCAAGCCUGGCAAUAUAUACUAAAAAAUACUACAACUGAAUGCCAAUGCAAGAGUCAAACAGCAUGUACUGAAAAAUAGUAAGAAAAAGGAGUCACAUUUUAUUUAAACAAAAUGUAAACUUAAAACAGCCGACCACCCCAGGUCAUUUGGGGUUUGCAUGCUUCCUGCACAGGUUAGAGGAUGAUUAAUCCCAAGGAGCCCAGAGCUCCGCAACAAACCGACGGAAAACAGAGCCCGCUCGGCCUGGCCGGAGUUAAUCUAGCAAGCGGUGCGAUUUUCUCAGUAUCCCAUCAGCGUCUUAACGCGAUUUGAUGGUUGACAACGGGGAUUCCGUGCGUGCGACUGCCUCCCCGAUCGCCCACGCAAACCCAAUCCCCGCCCGUCCAUCCAUCACUCGUCGGCGUCGGCCGACAGGGACGAUCCGUCGCCGGCCUUCCCCGUCGCCGUUGCGGGGCUCGCAUCAGAUUAGCCUGAUGUGAUGCGAUGGGGCGGGGCGCGUCGUGCUUGAUUCGUGUCCUCGCAAGCCGCGACUGUUCGCCGACGCCGUCCGCUUGCUGCUGGCUCGGGCGGCCAUCCGAUCCGUGCCCUGCAGCUACAGUGCCGGGUGGCCCGGCCGGCUCGCUGCUGCUGCUGGUGCAUCUGACGGCGACGCGGUCCCGGCGCAGCUGCGUGGACGUCGGUGACUGGGCGUCGCUGUCGUGCAGCUGCGUGCGCAGCCUACCCGAGUGAGACUCGUUGACAGUUUCGUACUCCUCACGUGCUCUGAUCGGAGCCGGGGCUGCACCGGCAUCGGCCAGGCCGCGCGCGGCAGCUGGCCUUUUGGCAAUGCAACGGAGAGAACUGGAAACGAUCGCCGGUGAAGUGUGCUUCACCUCCAGCGCACGGCGUUGCAAAGACCGAGCUCCACGUAGCUCGUUUAAAAAACUAUUUACAAGUUUAAAAAAGGAUGCGUCUAGGGCAUAUCUAGAUAUGCUCUAGUUAUUGCACAUCUAACUGAAUGAAUUAAGCAUAAAGAGGAAGAGAAAAAAGAAAAAAAAUAUCUACACGAAUCUCAAUGUAAGAUCAAUGACAUAGGACUUAGAUGUGCAAUACUUAUGGCACAUCUAGAUGUGCUUUAGCAAAAUUGUUUAAAAAAAUGCGAAAAAAUCUACACGUACAUAUGCAUAUUCUUUAAGUAGGUACAAAUUUCAUCAACUAAUUUUAUUAUUUGCGUGCUGCACAAAAGAGACAAAUAUCUUGUCCAAAUGGACCAUGUUUGUACGUAUAAAACUCACUUCACAUUAACUGACGGACAUAUAUCUAUAUAGCUUGUUCACAAUGUUUGGUUUUCUGGACAAUUACUACUAUCAAGUGCUCCUUAGGGAGUACUCCAUAUCCAGAACGAUAGAACACCAAACUGACCAAAAGAAGGGAUCCAUAGCCAACAACAGUUCAGUACACCGGACUGAGCAAAAUGCAACUAAAUAUGAGACCAAAAACUAAAGAUAUGCUCUCCUCGGCUUCUUAUCUUCGAAUUCAGCAAUUAUGUCAUCAUAACUUAUUUUUGCUGCAAUUUCUACUUCUACUUGCACCAGCAAGCUAUCCACAAGAAAUCCAUCUUCCAUUUUUUUGCGUAGCCUUGACUUGAUAAUUUUCAAACUAGAAAAAGCACGCUCAACACUUGUUGUAGAAACUGGAAGGGUAACAAGCAGUCGAAGUAAUAUAUCAAUCCAAUUAGAGGUUAUAUGCCUUCCUGUCUCAACAAGGCAUCGACAUAGAGCGGAUAUGACUUGACUUGAUAAUUUUCAAACUAGAAAAAGCACGCUCAACACUUGUUGUACAAACUGGGAGGGUAACAAGCAAUCAAAGUGGGUUUUGUGGUUACCAUUUCCUGGCAGCGACUGCUCUCUCCGACCCCUCCGCACAGCGCCGCCCCUCCCCGCUCCUUCCCCGCUUUGCCGCCGCCAGAGGGGACACCGGCGAAGCCCGCGUGGUCCCCAGGGAAGGUGGCGGCGGGCGUCCUCGUCGUUCUCGCGCAGAUCUCGCGACGGCCGGUGGCGCGCGGCGGUGUUCCGCCGGUGGCUGGCGCCUGCUGCCUGUGGGGCGGCGUCUCUCACGGCGGCGGGGCUGCCCCUGAAAGGCGCUUGGUGGUGGCCAUGUGUUGGUGCGCGCGGGGGGGGGGGGGGUCGGAUCUGGGCUUCCGGUCUGCGUCCUUGUCGUGGCAGCGAUUGCCGUUGCCCUCAGCCAUGAGGCGUGGUCCAGGACGGGCCGAGCGCCAGUGGUGCUGGCCAGGACACACGCUGGCAGCGCCCUACUUCAUCUCGCGUCGUCUCGCUGGCCAAUGGUGGUGGUCAUCUUCGUCGUCAGAGAUGGCCGGCAGAGGCUUGGUGAUCGGAUCUCGAGAUUCAUCAUCUAGUCCCGGCUGCGAGUUGGGGAGACAUGGUUGCCGGUGAAAAUCGAGCCGUUGGCAGGCGAUGGCGGCGUUCUACGCCGUUACCUUGAUGGAGGCAUCGUCGUGUAACUAUUGUCGACCCACUCGUACUGCUCUGGGGAAAACCCUAGGAUCUGGUGUUCUAGAUCGGACGAUGGCGGCACUGCGGUGUCGUUUCUCUCUUGGGAGCACCGUUUGUGGAGCAGCGCUGGAAGUCAGAGGCAGGAGGUGGAGCGGCUUCGUCUUGCACGGAGCUUCGGUGGAGAUGUUAAGUCAUGCCUGACCGACAGGUGCUAUGCUUUGUCAUGCCUGGUCGGCAGAUGCUACGCACGAUAGAUCUUGCAAAGACUUCAAGCCUGUGUCGGCUGGUGAUACUUGGCAGCAUGGUGCUAAGGUGUAUCAGUGGCGACCGCGACGUGCACAACUGUUUGCGCGCAGGGAGGAGGUGUCGUUGGGCGUCGUGGUGGCGUCGAGAAUAGUUAGACCGAGCAAGGUUGAUGCAUCAGUACAGUUCUAAAAAUAGAGCGGUGGCAGUUGGCGGCGACGGCCUCUGAGAGCACGCCGGACCGGCGAGACCCAUGCCCGGCAGGCGUCCUGGAUGGGUCCUUGAUACGUCUCUGUCGUAUCUAUAAUUUUUGAUUGUUCCAUGCCAAUAUUCUACAACUUUCAUAUACUUUUGGCAACUUUGUAUACUAUUUUUGGGACUAACAUAUUGAUCCAGUGCCCAGUGCCAGUUCCUGUUUGUUGCAUGUUUUUUGUUUCGCAGAAUAUCCAUAUCAAACGGAGUCCAAAUAGAAUAAAAAUUGACGGAGAUUUUUUUGGAAUAUAUAUGAUUUUUGGGAAGAAAAAUCCACACGAGACGAUGCUCGAGGGGCCCACGAGGCAGGGGGCGCGCCCCUGACCCUCGUGGCCACCCCGUAAGGCGGUUGAUGCCCUUCUUUAGUCGCAAGAAAGCUAAUAUCCGGAUAGAGAUCGUGUUAAAAUUUCAGCCCAAUCGGAGUUGCCCCCUGCCUCGUGGCCACCCUGUAAGGCGGUUGAUGCCCUUCUUUAGCCGCAAGAAAGCUAAUAUCCGGAUAGAGAUCAUGUUAAAAUUUCAGCCCAAUCGGAGUUACGGAUCUCCGGAAAUAUAAGAAAAGGUGAAAGGGAAAAUCUGAGAACGCAAAAACAGAGAAAGACAGAGAGACAGAUCCAAUCUCGGAGGGGCUCUCGCCCCUCCCAUGCCAUGGAGACCAAGGACCAGAGGGAAAACCCUUCUCCCAUCUAGGGACGAGGUCAAUGGAGAAGAAGAAGGAGGGGUCUCUCGCUCCCUCGCUUCCGGUGGCACCGGAGUGCCACCGGGGACCAUCAUCAUCACCGCAAUCUUCACCAACAAUUUCACCACCAUCAUCACCAACUCUUCCCUCCUCUAUGCAGUGGUGUAACUUCUCUCUUACCCGCUGUAAUCUCUACUUAAACAUGGUGAUCAACGCUAUAUAUUAUUUUCCCAAUGAUGUAUGGCUAUCCUAUGGUGUUUGAGCAGAUCUGUUUUGUCCUACGGGUUAUUUGAUGAUCGUGAUUGGUUUGAGUUGCAUGUUUUAUUAUUGGUGCUGUCCUUUGGUGCUCUCCGUGUCGCGCAAGCGUGAGGGAUUCCCGAUGUAGGGUGUUGCAAUACGUUCAUGAUUCGCUUAUAGUGGGUUGCGUGAGUGACUGAAACACAAACCCGAGUAAGUAGGUUGUUUGCGUUGGGAUAAAGAGGACUUGAUACUUUAAUACUAUGAUUGGGUUUUACCUUAAUGAUCUUUAGUAGUUGCGGAUGCUUCCUGGAGUUCCAAUCAUAAGUGCAUAUGAUCCAAGUAGAUAAAGUAUGUUAGCUUAUGCCUCUCCCUCAUAUGAAAUUGCAAUAAUGAUUACCGGUCUAGUUACCGAUUGCCUAGGGACAAAUAACUUUCUCGUAACAAAAAGUUUUCUACUAAACCUAACUUAGUUGUGUCUUUAUCUAAACAACCCCUACUUUUUAUUUACAUGCUCUUUAUUAUCUUGCAAACCUAUCCAAAAACACCUACAAAGUACUUCUAGUUUCAUACUUGUUCUAGGUAAAGCGGAUGUCAAGCAUGCGUAGAGUUGUAUCGGUGGUCGAUAGAAUUUGAGGGAAUAUUUGUUCUGCCUUUACCUCCUCGUUGGGUUCGACACUCUUACUUAUCGAAAGAGGCUACAAUUGAUCCCCUAUACUUGCGGGUUAUCAAUACCUUUUUCUGGCGCUGUUGCCGGAGAGCAAUAGCGUGGGGUGAAUAUUCUCGUGUGUGCUUGUUUGCUUUAUCACUAAGUAAUUUUUAUUUGCUGUUCUUAAUUGUUUUCUAUCUUUAUUUAUGGAUAGAAAACACAAAAUACCAAAAAAAUAGUUGUACCUACUAAACCAAUGGUUGAAGAACCACUCAAAAUCUAUCACACUGCUGAAGCUUAUUACUUGGAUCAUCUUCGAUCCCUAUGUGCUCGUGCUGAAACCCCAACUAGCUUAGUUGAGGGCAAAUCUUUAGAUGAGCAUGCUUGAUAUGUGCGACACCGUACAUCUGAAAAAGGAAAACUUUUACUGGGUCAAAUUCAUCGUUUGCAAUGCUAUGCUUGGAAUUUAUGUGAAAUAUAUGAUUUUACUUGUUGUUCUGAAAACCCUAAGAAACACCUUCCCUAUCAAUGUGAGUUUAGUGAUAAUGGAAUCGUAUCUUCGUAUGCUAAGGGUGUUUAUAAUUACUAUGAUGUUCAACAAAUUGAAGAAUUUGUUGCUUUUAAGGGUGCUUACGAAAUUGCUUCUUUGAUUGAAAAGUAUGAUGCUACUCUUUACAAAUCUGAAAAUUUUGCCAUACUUAAAUAUUGCUAUGAUAAUUAUGCUUCUAAUGCCUAUGUUGAACCAUAUAUUAAGGACUACUCCGCUGUCUAAGAAGAGACUAAUAUUUUGCAGGAGUCUAUGGAAGAAGAAAUUGAUGAAACUGUGAGCUCAUUGGAUGAAAAAGAUGAUGAGGAGAGCGAAGAACAAAAGGAGGAAGAGCGGAUUAGCUACCCGUGCCCACCUUCUAAUGAGAGUACUCUUCAACUCAUACAUUGUUUAAUUUCCCUUCGUGCUUACCGAAUGAUGAUUUCUAUGAUGACUAUUAUGAUCCCUUUGAUUCUCUUGAAAUAUCCCUUUUUGAUGAUACUUGCUAUGCUUGUGGUCAAGAUGCCAAUAUGAAUUAUGCUUAUGAAGAUGAACUUGCUAUAGUUACUUAUGUUAAACAUGAAGUUGUUGCUAUUGCACCCACACACGAUAGUCCUAUUAUCUUUUUGAAUUCUCCCGACUACACUAUGUCGGAGAAGUUUGCACUUAUUAAGGAUUAUAUUGAUGGGUUGCCUUUUACCGUUGCACAUGAUGAUUUUGAUGAAUAUAAUAUGCAUGUGCUUGCUGCUCCAUCUUGCAAUUAUUAUGAGAGAGGAACUAUAUCUCCACCUCUCUAUGUUUCCAAUAUAAAAAAAUUGCAAGAAACUGUUUAUACUAUGCAUUGCCCUUUACUUUGCGUUAAUGAAUUGUUCUUUUAUGACAUGCCUAUGCAUAGGAAGAGAGUUAGACUUCGUUGUUGCUUGAUAUAUGUUACUUUGUGCUCACUACUAAAUUAUAAAUCAUCGUUAAUUAAAAUUGGCUUUGAUAUACCUUGGGAUCCGGGUGGAUUCACUACUUGAGCACUAUAUGCCUAGCUUAAUGGCUUUAAAGAAAGCGCUGCCAGGGAGACAAUCCGAAAGUUUUAGAGAGUCAUUUAUUUCUGUUGAGUGCUUUUAUAUAGUUUAAAAACAACAAAAAUAAACAGGGGAACCCAAAAGAAUUUCAAAAAGGAAAGUGAAAGUGAGAAAGACAAGCAUUGUUGAAGUGGGAGAGCUCCUUGAACUUUAUUCAUGCCCACUGAAACUUUGUGAAUCUUGAUUACAGAAACUUUUCAACAAAAAUAAUUAUCCCCUUAUACAAUUCCAUUGUAUUAUAAAAAAUAAUGUGCUAAGGUUCGCCUUUAGGAUGUUUACAUUUGCUUUAUGGUUUAUACGGUGCAGGACAGAAACUUUGACGAGCAAUUUUACAUUUUUAGCUGGAACGUCAAAUGGUUCUGAUUCCUUUUGCAAUGUCUUUCUAUACAAUUUUUUUUUCCUAAUUUUGGUAUAAUUUUUCAAGUAUCAUAAGUAUGGUGAAUGCUUAGAUUAUUACAAACUGUUCUGUUUUAGACAGAUUCUAUUUUUGAUGCAUAGUUUGCUUGUUUUGAUGAAACUAUCGUUUCAUAUCAGUGGAUUAAGCCAUAAAAAAGUUAUAUUACAGUAGACACAAUGCAAAAACAAAAUAUGAAUUGGUUUGCAAGAGUACUUAGAGUAGUGAUUUGCUUUAUUAUACUAACGGAUCUUGCCGAUUUUCUGUUGAAGUUUUAUGUGGAUGAAGUGUUCGAUGAUCGAGAAGGUCUCGAUGUGAGAAGAAGGAAGAGAGGCAAGAGUUCAAGCUUGGGGAUGCCCAAGGCACCCCAAGUAAAUAUUCAAGGAGACUCAAGCUUCUAAGCUUGGGGAUGCCCCGGAAGGCAUCCCCUCUUUCUUCAACAAGUAUCGGUAUGUUUUCGGAUUCGUUUCGUUCAUUCGAUAUGUGCAAUCUUGGAGCAUCUUUUGCAUUUAGUUUUCAUUUUUCUUUUAUGCACCAUGCUGGUAUGAGAUAGUCCUUGGUUGAUUUAUAGAAUGCUCAUUGCACUUCACUUAUAUCUUUUGAGUAUGGAUUUAUAGAAUGCUUAAUGUGCUUCACUUAUAUCAUUUGAAGUUUGGAUUGCUUGUUUCUCUUUACAUAGAAAACCGCCAUUUGUAGAAUGCUCUUUUGCUUCACUUAUAUUUGUUAGAGCGUGGGCAUAUCUUUUGUAGAAAAAAUUAAACUCUCUUGCUUCACUUAUAUCUAUUUAGAGAGAUGACAGGAACUGGUCAUUCACAUGGUUAGUCAUAAAAUCCUACAUAAAACUUGUAGAUCACUGAAUAUGAUAUGUUUGAUUCCUUGCAAUAGUUUUGCGAUAUAAAGAUGGUGAUAUUAGAGUCAUGCUAGUGGGUAAUUGUGGAUUAGUAGAAAUACUUGUGUUGAGGUUUGUGAAUCCCGUAUCAUACAUGUAUGGUGAACCGUUAUGUAACGAAGUCGGAGCAUGAUUUAUUUAUUAAUUAUCUUCCCUAUGAGUGGCGGUCGGGGACGAGGGAUGGUCUUUUCCUAUCAAUCUAUACCCCUAGGAGCAUGCGCGUAGUACUUUGUUUCGAUGACUAAUAGAUUUUUGCAAUAAGUAUGUGAGUUCUUUAUAACUAAUGUUGAGUCCAUGGAUUGUACGCACUCUCACCCUUCCAGCAUUGCUAGCCUCUCUAGUACCGCGCAACUUUCGCCGGUACCAUAAACCCACCAUAUACCUUCCUCAAAACAGCCACCAUACCUAUCUAUCAUGGCAUUUCCAUAGCCAUUCCGAGAUAUAUUGUCAUGCAACUUCCAUCAUCAUCAUAUACAUGACUUGUGCAUUCAUUGUCAUAUUGCUUUGCAUGAUCGUAAGAUAGCUAGCAUGAUAUUUUCAUGGCUUAUCCGUUUUUUGAUGUCAUUGCUACGCUAGAUCAUUGCACAUCCCGGUACACCGCUGGAGGCAUUCAUAUAGAGUCAUAUCUUUGUUCUAGUAUCGAGUUGUAAUAUUGAGUUGUAAGUAAAUAAAAGUGUGAUGAUCAUCAUUAUUAGAGCAUUGCCCCAGUGAGGAAAGGAUGUUGGAGACUAUGAUUUCCCCAUAAGUCGGGAUGAGACCCCGGACGAACAAAAAAAAAA
rnacentral:lncRNA from 1 species